rnacentral:lncRNA from 1 species
GUGUGGGGUCGGAGUACCCUGACAUGACGUGUGUUUAGGUUUACCUUGCAAGGUUUAAAACUCGAUUCGAAUCGUCUGCUUCUCGCAGCUAAUGAGACUGCUUGAUUCCUUGUACUGCAUCGAGUAAGAAGUGAAAUGUGGAUUAUAUGAGAUAACUUGUUGAUUGAGCUAAUUGCUUGUUACCAUGUAUGCUUAGAAGGAGCAAAUCUAGUUAAGUUAAUGAUGGUAGAAUUUGGAAAGCUAAAAAAAUUGACUUUAGAAACAGCUAGUGCUUUUGGCAAACCAAACCCCUCAGCCAAACAGCUGCAUAGUCUAGAGGUAGAGGAGUAGACUCCUCACACCGGUUAAGUCUAGCUGAGUAUUAGUAUACUCAGCCUUGCUUGUGGCACCAUUUUUGCAGGUACCAUGCAGGAUUUGGUUGAUGGUGUGACUUGGCCUACCACCCUGCCACCGGGUUGGACGGUCGAGUUGGAUGUGGCUCCGGCAGGAGAGGAGCAUGAGAAGUAGUGGGCUAGGCCUUGCCCAUUUCCUCAUUACCGACGACAUCGAUUAUCCGCUGCACUUUAUUUUAUGAACCUUAUUUGCUACUCAAAAACUCCGAUUUAUGUAAUAACUCAGUACUUAAUUUGAGGUUUCCUGUUUUAUUGUAUUUCUUCUGUGACUCACCUUCGAGUGAGAUUGUGGAAUUUGAUCCUGGUUAAGUGGCUCUAUCAGACUAGAUCUGAGGGACUGACGGGUUAUUCCGAUUUAAGUGUGUUACGACCCCUGGGGCGUGGCUUAGGCACUUAAGCUGGAAUAAUUCGGGCGAUUCUGCCACAGCUAUGUUCAUUUGAUGCACUAGGAGUUUUCUUCUUAGGCAACUUAGCACGAGUUGGUUGCCUAGAACUAGAUGUCUCACCCUUAUACAUAAAAGCAUGGUUAGGGCCAGAGUGAGACUUCCUAGAAUGAAUUCUCCUAAUUUUGCUCUCGGGAUAACCGGCAGCGUACAAAAUGUAACCCUCGUUAUCCUGAGGCAUGGGAGCCUUGCCCUUAACAAAAUUAGACAAUUUCUUAGGAGGGGCAUUAAGUUUGACAUAGUCUCCCUUUUGGAAGCCAAUGCCAUCCUUGAUGCCAGGGCGUCUCCCACUAUAGAGCAUGCUUCUAGCAAAUUUAAACUUUCCAUUUUCUAAGUUAUGCUCGAUAAUUUUAGCAUCUAAUUUUGCUAUAUGAUCAUUUUGUUGUUUAAUUAAAGCCAUGUGAUCAUGAAUAGCAUCAAUGUUAAUAUCUCUACAUCUAGUACAAAUGGAAGUAUGUUCAAUAGUAGAUGUAGAGGGUUUGCAAGAUUUUAAUUCUACAACCUUAGCAUGCAAUAUAUCAUUUUUACUUCUAAGGUCGGAAAUUGUAACAUUGCAAACAUCUAAUUCUUUAGCCUUAGCAAGCAAUUUUUCAUUUUCAUUCCUAAGGCUCGCAAGAGAAAUGUUCAAUUCUUCAAUCUUAUCAAGCAAAUCAACAUUAUCAUUUCUAAGAUUUGGAAUUGAAACAUUACACACAUUUGAAUCAACCUUAGCUAACAAAUUAGCAUUUUCAUUUCUAAGGUUGUCAAUAGUCUCAUGGCAAGUGCUUAGCUCACUAGAUAGUUUUUCACAUUUUUCUACUUCUAGAGCAUAAGCAUUUUUAACCUUAACAUGCUUCUUAUUUUCUUUAAUAAGGAAGUCCUCUUGGGUGUCCAAAAGAUCAUCCUUCUCAUGAAUAGCACUAAUUAAUUCAUUUAAUUUCUCUCUUUGUUGCAUGUUUAGGUUGGCAAAAAGAGUACACAAAUUGUCUUCCUCAUCACUAGCAUUAUCAUCGCUAGAGGACUCAUAUCUAGUGGAGGAUUUGGAUUUAACCUUCUUCUUUUUGUCGUCCUUUGCCAUGAGGCACUUGUGGCCGACGUUGGGGAAGAGAAGUCCCUUGGUGACGGCGAUGUUUGCGGCGUCCUCGUCAGAGGAGGAGUCAGUGGAGCUCUCGUCGGAGUCCCACUCCCGGCAAACAUGGGCAUCGCCGCCCUUCUUCUUGUAGUACUUCUUCUUCUCCUUUCUUCUCCCCUUCUUGUCGUCGCCCAUGUCACUGUCACUAGAAAUAGGACAUUUUGCUAUAAAGUGACCGGGCUUACCACACUUGUAGCAAACCUUCUUGGAGCGGGGCUUGUAAUCUUUCCCCCUCCUUUGCUUGAGGAUUUGGCGGAAGCUUUUGAUGACGAGCACCAUUUCCUCGUUGUCGAGCUUGGAGGCGUCGAUGGGUGUUCUACUUGAUGUAGACUCCUCCUUCUUCUCCUCUGUCGCCUUAAAUGCGACCGGUUGUGCUUCGGACGUGGAGGGACCGUCAAGCUCGUUGAUCUUCCUUGAGCCUUUGAUCAUGAACUCAAAGCUCACAAAAUUCCCGAUCACUUCCUCGGGAGUCAUUAGUGUGUAUCUAGGAUUGCCACAAAUCAAUUGAACUUGAGUAGGGUUAAGGAAAAUGAGUGAUCUUAGAAUAACCUUAACCACUUCGUGGUCAUCCCAUUUUUUGUUCCCGAGGUUGCGCACUUUAUUCACCAAGGUUUUGAGCCGGUUGUACAUGUCUUGUGGCUCCUCCCCUUGGCGAAGACGGAAGCGACCGAGCUCCCCCUCGACCGUCUCCCGCUUGGUGAUCUUGGUUAGCUCAUCUCCUUCGUGCGCGGUCUUGAGCACGUCCCAAACUUCCUGGGCGCUCUUUAAUCCUUGCACCUUGUUAUACUCCUCUCGACUUAGAGAGGCGAGGAGUAUAGUUGUGGCUUGGGAGUUGAAGUGCUCGAUUUGGGCCACCUCAUCCUCAUCAUAAUCCUCAUCCCCUACGGAUGGUACCUGUGCUCCAAACUCAACAACAUUCCAUAUACUUUUGUGGAGUGAGGUUAGGUGAAAUUUCAUCAAAUCACUCCACCUAGCAUAAUCUUCACCGUCAAAAGUUGGCGGUUUGCCUAAUGGAACGGAAAGUAAUGGAGUAUGUCUAGGAAUGCGAGGGUAGCGUAGGGGGAUCUUACUAAACUUCUUGCGCUCAUGGCGCUUAGAAGUUAUGGAGGGCGCGUCGGAGCCGGAGGUGGAAGGUGAUGAAGUAUCGGUCUCGUAGUAGACCACCUUCCUCAUCUUCUUUUUCUUGUCGCCACUCCGAUGCGACUUGUGGGAAGAGGCUUUCUUCUCCUUCCCCUUCCCCUUGUUGCGGGACUCUUCCGAUGAAGCUUUCCCGUGGCUUGUAGUGGGCUUGUCGCCGGUCUCCAUCUCCUUCUUGGCGUGAUCUCCCGACAUUACUUCGAGCGGUUAGGCUCUAAUGAAGCACCGACCUCUGAUACCAAUUGAAAGUCGCCUAGAGGGGGGGUGAAUAGGGAGAAUCUGAAAUUUACAAACUUAAUCACAACUACAAGCCGGAUUAGCAUUAGAAAUAUAAUCGAGUCCGAGAGAGAGGGUGCAAAACAAAUCGCAAGCGAAUAAAGAGUGUGACAUGCGGAUUUGUUUUACCGAGGUUCGGUUCUUGCAAACCUACUCCCCGUUGAGGUGGUCACACAGACCGGGUCUCUUUAAACCCUUUCCCUCUCUCAAACGGUCCCUCGGACCGAGUGAACUUCUCUUCUCAAAUCAAUUGGGAACCAAACUUCCCGCAAGGACCACCACACAAUUGGUGUCUCUUGCCUUGUUUACAAUUGAGAUGAUCGCAAGAACGAAUGAGAAAAGAAGCAAUCCAAGCGCAAGAGCUCGUAAGAACACAACAAAUCUCUCUCACUUAACACUAAAGCUUUUGUGGAAUUGGAGAGGAUUUGAUCACUUUGGGUGUGUCUAGAAUUGAAUGCUAGAGCUCUUGUUAGUAGUUGGAAGGUGGAAAACUUGGAUGACUUGAAUGUGGGGUGGUUGGGGGUAUUUAUAACCCCAACCACCAAACUAGCCGUUUGGUGGAGGCUGCUGUCGCAUGGCGCACCGGACAGUCCGGUGCGCCACCAGACACUGUCCGGUGCGCCAGCCACGUCACCAGGCCGUUGAGUUCCGACCGUUGGAGCUCUGACUUGUGGGCCCGACUGGUUGUCUGGUGGUGCACCGGACAAGCCCUGUAGGCUGUCCGGUGUGCCACCCGCGCGUGCUCUGACUUCUGCGCGCGCUGGCGCGCAUUCAAUGCGCCUGCAGUCGACCGUUGGCGCGAAGUAGCCGUUGCUCCGCUGGCUCACCGGACAGUCCGGUGUGCACCAGACAUGUCCGGUGAAUUAUAGCGGAGCGGAAAUCCGAAGCUGGCGAGUUCAGAGCCGCUCUCCUCUGGAGCACCGGACACUGUCCGGUGGUGCACCGGACAGUCCGGUGAAUUAUAGUGGAUCCCUCUGAAAAUUCCCGAAGGUGAAGAGUUGGGCGUCGAGUUCUCUGGUGCACCGGACACUGUCCGGUGGCACACCGGACAGUCCGGUGCGCCAGACCAGGGCAUACUUUGGUUAUCCCUUCCUCUCUUUGUUGAACCCAUUUCUUGGUCUUUUUAUUGGCUUAGUGUGAACCUUUGGCACCUGUUUAACUUAUACACUAGAGCAAACUAGUUAGUCCAAUUAUUUGUGUUGGGCAAUUCAACCACCAAAAUCAAUUAGGAAAAUGGGUGUAAGCUUAAUUCCCUUUCACUCAGCGGUCGUAAAAACAUACGCAUACUUAAAAUAAAUUGUUCCUGCAGGCUCAGACAUCGGCAGGGGGAGGAACAGCACCCUCGGCGUCGUUUCCACCCUCAGCAGAAUCUGGCCCGGCCUCAGACGGCGACACGGGCGGAAGGAUCUCCACCUCAAAGGAGGAAGCCAGCGCCGCGCUUGGGCCCUCGACGGCCACGUCAAGCCUCUGGACCUCGGCUAAGGCGGCCUCCUCUUCGUCGGGUAAGCAGUACCCCUCUCUGACUCGCUCCAGAUCCACAUCGUAGUGGGAAGCGAGCACGGCGAAGGCCCGCCUAACGUCGUGGUGCAGCGCCCCGCGGAGUCUGCUGCGCACAUGACCGCCCAAGGCCCGCAGGUGACUCUGGGGGGAGCUACCCGAGGGGACGUCGUCGAGGCCAAAGGCCCGGCAGAAAGCCGAGAUGGCCUCGGACAUGGCCACGCGGUCGGCCUACUUCUGCUCAGCCGCCUUGGCAAGCGUCUUGCAGUUCUUGACGGACUCAUUAAGAGCCGUCUCGAACCCUGCAGACAGACGAACAAAAUUCUUCAGACGCGAAGUGAAGAAUGGAGACAAAAACAAAGUCACAAAGCGAGCAAAACAUACCUUCGGCCCGGGCACGCUGCUGUGAGGUCAUGGCUUGGGCGGACCAGCCAGACUCGACGUCCACGACCAGGCCCUCCACAAGGGUCCCGGCCCAAGCGGUCGCCUUAGGUCUAGAAGAGGAGGGAACUCCCUCUGCGUCAAAAUUUUCCUCGAAAAAGUUUUCUGCCAAAACGACUUUCGUGCCUUUCGACCGCGUCAAUAACGGAAUCCUAAUGACGAGCGAGAGAGACCUUGAACGACAAGGCCGACCGAGCCGAGGAACUCCUACGCCUCCGGGAUACGGAUACCUUACUCAUCACCUUCCACGAAAGGUAGCUCGCGCUCGGAUAAGUGAUUCUGCUACCGACGAACAAGUCCUAAUGCUCGAAAUAAGAGGAAAGAAACACGACUUUGUACUCAAAUGCCCAAAUGUUCAGGCCUCAGCAGCCACAAAGAACAAACACACAUACUUGGGAUAAUUAUGGUAUCUAGACUUAGACGUCGGCAUCGCCCUCGGCGGUUUUACCGACCUGCGGCAGAUGUCUAGUACUUGAAGCAGUUACAUCUUGCUCUCAAGAAAGUACCAUUACAAACGGGACUCCGGCUCCAUUCCCACAGGAAUGAACAACCUCCACACUAGAAGGCAUGCGGGAUAACAAACUCCAGGCGGCUCGCCGGCGACCACUGCACCAGCAGCGACAACGACCUCCGCCUCGGGCGGCUAGACAGCAGCAGCGAUUGCCUCAGGGCAAACGCUACUGUGAAAAGGCCCACGCCCACGUCCCCCUACGAGGGACGAGAACUAGCCAUUAAAGCCAAAGAGCCGGAGGUCUGGAGCGCAGGUGGCACUGACGGUCUCAUCGACGGAGGCAACCGCUUCGGCAGAGGAAGCCUCACCUAUGGCGACCACCACCCCAGCACCGACGACAGCGGCCACCUGCCCACCAGCACCGCACCAGCGAACGGCCGCUGCCCCAGUGCGCACCGGCAGGUCCUCACUCCCGUCCUCGCCACAGAAGCAAGGACGGGACUGUCCCAGAACACGAACACCGCCCUCGCGGCGUACGACGUGUUGUGCGACCCCCCGGUGCAGCCGGCGGCGCAGGAAGGACCUGGACGUGGCCGGCCCGUGCACGGCGCGACCGACACUCGUGCGGCGGACGGGCAGCCACGCUCCGCCCCAGCGGUAGGAGGCGGCACCGGAAGCAGCACCAGAGCCGCUUAGGCCGAGGAGCCAGACACGCGGCAACUGACAGCGCCACGGACAGCGAACGCCCUUCUCCCCCGAACACUAAGGGAAGGAGCGGGCCGCUGCCCACGCGGAGGCGGGACCCAACUCGGCUCGCCUCCUCCCCAGCAUGGAUGAUGAACAUCCUUGAAGCUGAGGGCAAGGGAGAGGCCACGACCCGGCUCGCUCUUCCCCACCACGAGGCCUACGAUCAUCAUCCUGGGUGACCGCCGGCGGGGGACUGCAGCCGGGCUGCAUGAUGAAAAUCCUUGAAGCCGAGCGAUGACUGAAGAGCGCCAACCCCCACGAGGUCGCGCUUCUCCAACAGCAGCAAGAGGAAGGCAACACAGGUGCACCCCAUUCGGGGGCUCGGAAGGUGGAAAGACGCGAUGAAUGCGAGGAGUAUGAAGGCAUGGCUACCGCCCGAGGGGUCGAUCCCUUUUUAAAGGCAGAUCUCCUCACUCGCACCCCCAAGCGUCACGGGCAAAGUCUCCACCGACGUGCUCCAGGGUUCCCACCCUACGACACGGGGGCUGGGUCCCACACGUCAUGCGAAGCUGACCCGAAACGUGAAGAAGGCAAACCGCUGCAUGCGAAGCAUGUAACCGCCCUGCGGUUAUAAGCAUUCCCUCAUCCUCGCUGAAACCAGUGGUCGAAAGGGCGGACCGCCACGCAAGAAGCUUGCAACCGCACCACGGUUGUGCACCCUUUCGGCUUCGUCGCAUCCGGCGGUCCAGCAUGGAGGCUCGGGCCCCAAUGUCAUGUAACCGGCGCGCCGGUUACUACGUGCAAGGAAACCGCACUGCCACUUGCGCCAAUGCCGCGUCUUCUCGACUGCAGAACCAGUGCAGCGACUCAAGGUAGCCCUGCGCGUGACCCAACAGUGCCAAUUAAGUGUGAAGAUCACGGGUCACUCAGCCGCGGGGAUAGGCACGAGUUGAUAUGACCAGAGGCGGGCCGGUGGUAAUUGCAGCAACAGACGUGCAGAAGCAGCAGUCCAAUCACCUACAGGCUCGCAUCCUCUCCUGAAACGGCAGGGGAGCCCUCUCCCACAGCAUAAAAGACGACGCACCCGUGUUCCGUUCCUCGAACGACUCGCGCACGCGCAACAGACGCCCUGCGAAUUGCCCGUCCCGUCACAUUAACUCCUUAGCAGGGCAAGCGACACCUCUGGCAGGCGAAGCGGGCGCCGUUUCACCUCCGUCAUGAUGAUCGCGUCAAAAAAGGUGCGCCACAUUAUUUAAAUUCAUAUCCUUUUCCUUUUCCUCUCUCUCUCUCUCUUGCCACAGGGACCGGGAAAGGGGAUAUUUCGAAAAGAAUCCUUCUCAGUGAAGGAAACGGACCCCGAGCCCUCCUAUUGAUCAGGGGUUCGAAGGUUGCGCCCUGCGGGGUUCGGCAACCGCCCCAGAGCACUCGGGCUCCGAGCCCUUUAAUGAUCAGGGGUUCGAAGGCUGGCCCCUCGGAAGGGUUCGACAGCCGCCCCAGAGCACGCAGAGUCAGGGAUGACCCUGGGUACGUCCGUUACAUGGCCGAGGCUCGGGCUACGCUCCCGAGGUACCCUAGGACAUUUCCGAGACCAGCGGAAACGAUUUGUAAUGGAAUCCCACCGGAGGGAGGCACCGAGCCCUCGGACCCUAUCGAAUGGGUCCGGAUCUAGCAAAUCACCUGCAGGUACUUUUGGAGCGCGCCUCUGGGCCACUAGCCGACCCUUAUCAAACGGGGCCCGGGCGUCCACUCGGAUCACCCGUUAGCAACUCACUGGAAACACCACGUUCGGUGCCCUCCGAGGGUAACAUGGCGCUUCCCCCCCUUCCUCCUUGCGGAGAGGCGACGAAGGGGCGUAUAAUAAAAGUUGAGACAGUCCUUGAUCGUCCUCUUGCUCCGUGCAGAGGCUCGGGGGCUGCUCUCGCACUAGGCUAUGGCCAAACUGUUGACCACAUCAACAAACCAGCUUAAAAACUCGGAGCCUGACCGUGCACCCGGGCUACGGCCAGGCCGCAUGAGGGAACAACAAGGCUGACCAAGGCAUCACAAAAAGAAUUAAGACCUCAGAGGAGUCAGACCACUCCUCCGAGGCCUCGGGGGCUACACCCGACGGGUGCGCUCGUGCGCACCCCUCGGAACGGAACAUGACCGAGAAGGGCUGGUCCCCAUGCAAAAACUCCGGCAGAACAUCCAAGCGAGUACCUACACUCCCUUCGAGGCUCGGGGGCUACUGUCGGGGACCGUAAUUAGGGGUACCCCCAAUGCUCCUUAACCUGGCUGGAAAACAUCUUCAGAACAAACUGCAAAGACUGAUAAGCACGGUUCAAGUCAAGGCCUCGUCUACCAAGGGAAGCGAUCUCGCCUCGCCCGAGCCCGGCCUCGGGCGGGAAUAGUAGUCCCGGACAGAUUCACGCCUCGCCCGAGGGCCUCCUCAGACAGUGGGCGCACCCUCGGCUCGCCCGAAGCCCAGCUCAGGCAGACUUUGUCGUGCAGCGACCUCGGCCAAAUCGCCUUACCAACCGACCGUAUCGCAUGCGCAUUUAAUGCGGGGAUCGCCUGACACCUUAUCCCGACAUGCGCGCCUCAGUCGGCAAGGUCAAAGUGACCGUAGUCACUUUGCCCCUUUACUGACCGUUCUGACAGGAAAACAACACUAUUCACCCCGUUCUGACUACUAUGCCAACCACCAGGGUAAAGCUGAAUCACGACCUCCCCCGAGUUCAGCGUCGGGCGCAACAAGGAGCUCCGCUUCGCCCGACCUCAGGCCUCGACCUCAGCCUCGGCCUCAGGAGAAGGUCUCCGCCAUGCCCGACCCCAGGCCUCGGCCUCAGCCUCGGCCUCAGGAGGAGUCACAUCCUCGCCCGACCUCGACCUCGGCCUGAGGAAAAGUCUCCGCCUCGCCCGACCUCGGCCUCGGACCGACUACGCUACAGGGGAUACAUCAUUACCCUACCGCUAGUUAGCAACCCCUUGCUACGAAGGAACAAGACCGGAGUCACAUCAAACUACUCCAAUAGCAUGUAAUGAUGGUUCCCCGCGUGCGACCAUGACAUUGAUGGUUCUCAGCUCCUUACGGAAGCAAGGAAACGUCAACAGGACCCCGGGCCACACCGUCAGCUAUGCUUCUAUAGGGCUCAAGCACUUCUCCGACGGCCACAAUAGCACGUGUACAGGGCUCAAGGCACUUCUCCGCUAGCCACGUUAGCACAUAGCUACACCCCCAUUGUACAGCUGGGCAUCUCCUUGUUUCUAUAAAAGGGGAUGUCCAGGGCCUUCCUAAGGGGAGAGGGACGCAGGGACGGGGCGAGCGAAGAGAGGCAGACAGAGUAGGAGAAACGCAGAGGAGGCUAACUCAGACAGCUCACCUCAGGGCUAGACUCUCUCUCUCUCUCUCUCUCUCUCUCGCUCUCUCACGACGCUUGUAACCCCUACUACGAGCACCUCGGUGCAAGAUAAUAUAAGCCUCAUCCUCCCGCUUGUGUUCCAUCUUGCAUCAACCCAUCUGGGCAGGGACACGCAGCGAUAAAUUCACUAGUUGGUUGACGGUCCUCGCGGGUCCGAAACGCCGACACUAAGAACAAGGCCUAAAAUUGUUUUGUAGGUUUAUGCAUUCGGGGGCUCAAGUUGGAUCAUCGACAGCGGGUGCACAAACCACAUGACAGGGGAGAAGAAGAUGUUCUCCUCCUAUGAGAAAAACCGAGAUCCCCAAAGAGCGAUCACAUUCGGGGUUGGGAAUCAAGGUUUGGUCAAAGGAUUGGGUAAAAUCGCUAUAUCUCUUGACCAUUCUAUUUCCAAUGUUUUUCUUGUAGAUUCUUUAGAUUACAAUUUGCUUUCUGUUUCUCAAUUAUGCAAAAUGGGCUAUAACUGUCUUUUUACAGAUAUAGGUGUAACUGUCUUUAGAAGAAGUGAUGAUUCAGUAGCAUUUAAGGGAGUGUUAGAGGGUCAGCUAUACUUAGUAGAUUUUGAUAGAGCUGAACUCGACACUUGCUUAAUUGCUAAGACUAACAUGGGUUGGCUUUGGCACCGCCGACUAGCUCAUGUUGGGAUGAAGAAUCUUCAUAAGCUUCUAAAGGGAGAGCACAUUUUGGGACUAACCAAUGUUCAUUUUGAGAAAGACAGGGUUUGUAGCGCAUGUCAAGUAGGGAAGCAAGUUGGCAUUCAUCAUCCACACAAGAACAUCAUGACGACCAACAGGCCGCUUGAGCUACUCCACAUGGACCUAUUCGGCCCGAUAGCUUACAUAAGCAUCGGCUGGAGUAAGUAUUGUCUUGUAAUUAUGGAUGAUUAUUCUCGCUUCACUUGGGUAUUCUUUUUGCAGGAAAAAUCUCAAACCCAAGAGACUUUAAAGGGAUUCUUUAGAUGGGCUCAAAAUGAGUUCGGCCUAAGGAUCAAAAAGAUUAGAAGCGACAAUGGGACGGAGUUCAAGAACUCACAAAUCGAAGGCUUCCUUAAGGAGGAGGGCAUCAAACAUGAGUUCUCUUCUCCCUACAUGCCACAACAAAAUGGUGUAGUGGAGAGAAAGAAUAGAACUCUAUUGGACAUGGCAAGGACCAUGCUUGAUGAGUACAAGACUUCGGAUCAGUUUUGGGCCGAGGCGGUUAACACCGCCUGCUACGCCAUCAACCGGUUAUAUCUUCACCGAAUCCUCAAGAAGACAUCUUAUGAACUCCUAACCGGUAAAAGCCCAAUGUUUCAUAUUUUAGAGUCUUUGGUAGCAAAUGCUUUAUUCUUGUUAAAAGAGGUAGAAAAUCAAAAUUUGCUCCUAAGGCUGUAGAAGACUUUUUACUUGGUUAUGAUUCAAACACAAGGGCAUAUAGAGUCUUUAACAAGUCCUCUGGACUAGUUGAAGUUUCUUGUGACAUUGUGUUUGAUGAGACUAACGGCUCUCAAGAAGAGCAAGUUGAUCUUGAUGAGCUAGAUGAUGAAGAGGCUCCGUGCGUCGCGUUAAGGAACAUGUCCAUUGGGGAUGUGUGUCCUAAGGAAUCCGAAGAGCCUCCACAAGCACAAGAUCAACCAUCUUCCUCAAUGCAAGCAUCUCCACCAACUCAAAAUGAGGAUCAAGCUCAAGAUGAUGAUGAUGAAGAUCAAGAGGAGCCACCUCAAGAGGAGGACAAUGAUCAAGGGGGAGAUGCUAAUGAUCAAGACAAGGAAGAUGAUGAGGGUCCAAGACCGCCACACCCAAGAGUCCACCAAGCAAUCCAACGAGAUCACCCCGUCAAUACCAUCCUCGGCGACAUUCAUAAGGGGGUAACCACUAGAUCUCGUGUUGCACAUUUUUGUGAACAUUACUCUUUUGUUUCCUCUAUUGAGUCACAUAGGGUAGAGGAAGCACUUCAAGAUUCGGAUUGGGUGAUGGCGAUGCAAGAGGAGCUCAACAACUUCACAAGGAAUAAGGUAUGGCAUUUAGUUCCACGUCCUAACCAAAAUGUUGUAGGAACCAAGUGGGUCUUCCGCAACAAGAAAGAUGAGCAUGGUGUGGUGACAAGGAACAAAGCCCGACUUGUGGCCAAGGGAUAUUCACAAGUCGAAGGUUUGGAUUUCGGUGAAACAUAUGCACCCGUAGCUAGGCUUGAGUCAAUUCGCAUAUUACUUGCCUAUGCUACUUACCAUGGCUUUAAGCUUUACCAAAUGGACGUGAAAAGUGCUUUCCUCAAUGGACAUGUCAAGGAGGAGGUCUAUGUUGAGCAACCUCCCGGCUUUGAAGAUAGUGAGUACCCUAACCAUGUCUAUAAACUCUCUAAGGCGCUUUAUGGGCUCAAGCAAGCCCCAAGAGCAUGGUAUGAAUGCCUAAGAGAUUUCCUUAUCGCUAAUGGCUUCAAAGUCGGAAAGACUGAUCCUACUCUCUUUACUAAAACACUUGCAAAUGAUUUGUUUGUAUGCCAAAUUUAUGUUGAUGAUAUCAUAUUUGGGUCUACUAAUGAAUCUACAUGUGAAGAGUUUAGUAGGAUCAUGACUCAAAAAUUCGAGAUGUCUAUGAUGGGGGAGUUGAAGUAUUUUCUAGGAUUUCAAGUGAAGCAACUCCAAGAGGGCACCUUCAUUAGCCAAACGAAGUACAUUCAAGACAUACUCACCAAGUUUGGGAUGAGGAAUGCCAAGCCCAUCAAGACACCCAUGGGAACUAAUGGGCAUCUCGACCUCGACACGGGAGGUAAAUCCAUAGAUCAAAAGGUAUAUCGAUCGAUGAUAGGUUCGUUACUCUAUUUAUGUGCAUCUCGACCGGAUAUUAUGCUUUCCGUAUGCUUGUGUGCAAGAUUCCAAGCCGAUCCUAAGGAAGUUCACCUUAGGGCCGUAAAACGAAUCUUGAGAUAUUUAGUUUAUACUCCUAAGUUUGGCCUUUGGUACCCCAGGGGAUCCACAUUUGAUUUAAUUGGUUAUUCCGAUGCUGAUUGAGCAGGGUGUAAAAUUAAUAGAAAGAGCACAUCAGGGACUUGCCAGUUCUUGGGAAGAUCUCUAGUGUCUUGGGCUUCAAAGAAGCAAAAUUCUGUGGCUCUUUCUACCGCCGAAGCCGAGUAUAUUGCCGCAGGCCAUUGUUGCGCGCAAUUGCUUUGGAUGAGGCAAACCCUCAGGGACUAUGGUUACAAAUUAACCAAAGUUCCACUUCUAUGUGAUAAUGAGAGUGCAAUCCGCAUGGCGGAUAAUCCCGUUGAGCAUAGUCGCACUAAACACAUAGCCAUUCGGUAUCACUUCUUAAGGGAUCACCAACAAAAAGGGGAUAUCGAGAUUGCAUAUGUUAACACCAAAGAACAAUUAGCCGAUAUCUUUACCAAGCCAUUAGAUGAGCAAACAUUUACCAAACUUAGGCAUGAACUAAAUAUUCUUGAUUCUAGAAAUUUUGUUGAUGUUUUGCACAUAUAGCUAAAUUGUAUACCUUUGAUCGUAUCUCUUUCUUUGAUAUGACUAAUGUGGUUUUCAAGUGUAUUUUAAGCUAAGUCAUAGAUUGAAAGGGAAAAGGAGUCUUCAGCGAAGACAAGGCUUCCACUCCACUCCAAUUAUUCAUCUGUCGCCGUCACUCCGCAACACACUCUCCAAUUUGGUAUAAUCUUCACUCAUAUGUUAUUUACCAUAAGGGGAGAAAAUAGUUAUAAGGGCUUUAGUGACUCUGUUUUGGUGAUUCAUGCCAAAGGGGGAGAGAGUAUUAGCCCAAAGCAAAAGGACCGCACCUCCACCAAUUUCAAAAUUUUAGUCUUUCAAUUUAUGUUUAAAGUAAUGUUUUCAAAUUGGUAUCUUACUUAUUGAUAUAAUUUCAAAUUGGUAUACCCUCUUCAAAAUUAGUAUCAAAACCCUCUUGAACACUAAGAAGAGGAUUUCAUUAAGGGGGAGUUUUGUUUAAUCAAAGGAAAAGCAUUUGAAACAGGGGAGAAAAUUUCAAAUCUUGAAAAUGCUUCUCAAAAUCCUAUUCAUUUACCUUUGACUACUUUGCAAAAGCCUUUGAAAAGAAUUUCCAAAACAAUUGCAAAACAAAACAUGUGGUGCAAGCGUGGUCCAAAAUGUUAAUUACAAGAAAGCCAUCCAUGCAUAUCUAGUAGAAAUAAUUAUUGGUUUCAUUCCAAGCAACCUUUGCACUUAUAUUAUGCAAACUAGUUCAAUUCUGCACUUUUAUAUUUGCUUUGGUUUGUGUUGGCAUCAAUCACCAAAAAGGGGGAGAUUGAAAGGGAAAUAGGCUUACACCUUUUACUAAUUGAUUUUGGUGGUUGAAUUACCCAACACAAAUAAUUGGACUAACUAGUUUGCUCUAUAUUAUAAGUUUUACAGGUGCCAAAGGUUCACAACAAACCAAUAAAAAGACCGAGAAAGGGUUCAAACAAAGAGAGCAAAAGACAACCAAAGUGUGCCCUGGUCUGGCACACCGGACUGUCCGGUGUGCCACCAAACAGUGUCCGGUGCACCACCGGACAGUGUCCGGUGCACCAGGGGAUUCCAGUCUGAACUUGCCACCUUCAGGAAUUCUAGGAGCCACUCCGCUAUAAUUCACCGGACUGUCCGGUGUAGCAUCGGAUUGUCCGGUGUGCCAGCGGAGUAACGGCUACUACAGCGCUAACGGUCGCCUACAACAGCAUUAAAUGCGCUACAGUGCACGCAAAAGUCAGGCACGCGCCAGAAGGCGCACCAGACAGUCUACAGGACCUGUCCGGUGCACCACCGGACUGUCCGGUGGCCCAGAAGACAGAAGCUCCAACGGUCGAACCCUAACGGUCGGGUGGCGUGGCUAGCACACAGGACAGUGUCCGGUGGCGCACCGGACUGUCCGGUGCGCCAUGCGACAGCAGCCUCCACCAAACAACUAGUUUGGUGGUUGGGGCUAUAAAUACCCCCAACCACCCACCAUUCAUGGCAUCCAAGUUUUCAGCCUUCAAACACUUUACAAGAGCUAUAGCAUUCAAUACAAGACACAAGCAAAGAGAUCAAAUCCUCUCCCAAGUCAAAAGACCAUUCCAAUCAAAUAGUGACUCAUGAGAGAGAGACUUGUGUUCAUUUGAGCUCUUGCGCUUGGAUUGCUUUUCUGAGAGGGGGGUGAAUAGGUGAUCCUGUAAAAACUUGAAACUUAAUGCCACAAAACUUGAUUAGGAGUUUGCACAAUAAAGCCAAGUGGCUAGAGAGGAGUUCUUGCAAAACACAAUAACCACAAGGAGAUCAACACAAAGAGGCACAGUGGUUUAUCCCGUGGUUCGGCCAAGUCCAACACUUGCCUACUCCACGUUGUGGCAUCCCAACGGACGAGGGUUGCACUCAACCCCUCUCAAGCGGUCCAAAGACCCACUUGAAUACCACGAUGUUUUGCUUUGUUUCACUAUAUCCCGCUUGCGAGGAAUCUCCACAACUUGGAGCCUCUCGCCCUUACAAUUUGAUUAACACAAAGAAUCACGGAAGUAAGGAUGGGAUGAGCAACACACACAAGACACAAAAUCAGAGCAACAGUACGCACACAAGUCACAACUCAAGCUCACAACACAACCCGGAGAGUUCUCUACUCAAAUGGAGCUCUAGUUGUUAUCACAAAGAAUCAAAUGCGCGGAAUUGGAGUCUUGGUGCUUAGGAAUGCUUAGAGAAUGCUUGGUGUCCUCCUCCAUGCGCCUAGGGGUUCCUUUUAUAGCCCCAAGGCAGCUAGGAGCCGUUGAGAGCAUUCCAGGAAGGCAAUUCUUGCCUUCUGUCGCCUGGCGCACCGGACAGUCCGGUGCACCACCGGACACUGUCCGGUGCGGAUUUCUUUCCUAUUUUGGCGCAGCCGACCGUUGGCGAUUUGGAGCCGUUGGCGCAUCAGACACUGUCCGGUGCACACCGGACAGUCCGGUGCCCCAUUCAGACCGCUGGCCCGGCCACGCGUCACGCACGGAUUACGCGGCCGACCGUUGGCUCGGCCGACCGUUGGCUCACCGGACAGUCCGGUGCACACCGGACAGUCCGGUGAUUUAUAACCGUACGCCACCGACGAAACCCGAGAGCAGCCAGUUUGCCAGAGCCAGCCUGGCGCACCAGACACUGUCCGGUGCACCAUCGGACAGUCCGGUGCUCCCAGACUGAACUGUCUUUGGCUGAACAAAGCCAUCCCUUUUCCAAAUUGAUUUCUCCUGUUUCCAGUACUUAGACACAAUACAUUAGUCCUUAAAACAAAGUACUAAGACUUAGAAACAUACCUUUGUGUUGAUUUUCACUUUGUCCAUCAUUUGGCAUAGAUUAACACAUGACCACUUGUGUUGGACACUGAAUCACCAAAAUACUUAGAAAUGGCCCAAGGGCACAUUUCCCUUUCAUUUUCUUCUUCCUUCUUUCUUGUGCUCAAUUCACUUGUAAUCAAAACAAGAGACACCAAGUUGUGGUGGUCCUUGUAGUGGACUUAGUGUCCCAUUUGAUUGAAGAGAAAGGCUCACUCGGUCUAGGUGACCGUUUGAGAGAGGGAAAGGGUUGAAAGAGACCCGGUCUUUGUGACCACCUCAACGGGGAGUAGGUUUGCAAGAACCGAACCUCGGUAAAACAAAUCACUGUGUCACACUCUUUAUUUGCUUGUGAUUUGUUUUCGCCCUCUCUUUCGGACUCGAUUUUAAUUCUAACGCUAACCCUUGGUUGUAGUUGUGCUUAAAGUUUGUAAAAUUCAGAUUCGCCCUAUUCACCCCCUCUAGGCGACUUUCACUAACGGCGGCGCGGUUCUAGCUGUCUCCGCGCCGCGCUUCGACUUCAUCACACGUCUCCAUGACGUUCAGGCCACUGACCCACCGCUGGUAGCUCUCCGCGAGGAGUUGGCUGCUGGAUCUCGAGCGGCUCCAUGGGCCCUCACCGACGAUUUGGUGACCUAUGACGGGCGGCUGUACGUGCCACCAGCAUCUCCGCUCCUGUAGGAGAUGGUGGCGGCGGUACAUGAGGACGACCACGAAGGGGUGCAGCGCACCUUGCACCGGCUUCACCGGGACUUUCACUUUCCCGACAUGCGUCGCAUUGUUCAAGAUUUGGUGCGCGCCUGCGCCACAUGCCAAAGAUACAAAUCAGAGCACCUAAAUCCAGUGGGCCUUCUUCAUCCAUUACCUGUUCCGACAGUUGUCUGGGCGGACAUUGGCCUGGACUUCGUGGAGGCGCUGCCACGGUUUCGCGGCAAGUCAGUAAUCCUCAUGGUGGUGGAUCGCUUCAGCAAGUACUGCCACUUCAUUCCGCUCGCCCAUCCUUAUUCGGCGGAAUCUAUGGCACGGGCGUUCUUCACCGAAAUUGUCCGCCUACACGGGGUGAUUUAGUUCAUGGUGUCCGACCGGGACCCCGUGUUCACCUCUACAUUCUGGAAGGAGUUGAUGCGGCUCAUGAAUGUCAAGCUGCACAUGACGUCGGCAUUCCAUCCACAAUCCGACGACCAAACGGAGGCUGCUAACCGUGUUAUUAUCAUGUACCUCCGUUGUUUUAUAGGUAAUCGCCCCCACCAAUGGCUCUGAUGGUUACCAUGGGCAGAGUACACCUACAACACUGCUUACCAGUCGUCCCUACGCAACACGCCAUUUCGAGUGGUCUAUGGCCGGGAUCCUCCGUCCAUCUGGUCAUAUGAGCCUAGGGAUACGCGCGUAGCCACUAUGGCCAAGACAAUGGAAGAACGGGAAGAGUUCUUGGCGGAUGUGCGGUAUAGAUUGAAGCAAGCACAAGCUGUUAAGAAGCUCCACUAUGACAAACACCACCGCUAGGCCUCCUACGAAGUGGGCGACUGGGUCCUGCUUCGCCUUCGACACCACCCAGUUGCAUCCUUGUCCCCGACGGUCCAAGGCAAGCUGCAGUCACGGUACUUCGAGCCCUACCACAUCUCCGAGCUCAUCAACAACGUCGCUGUUCUCCUGGAGCCCCCCCUCGGGCCAAGCUCCAUGACGUCUUUCAUGAGGGCCUCUUGAAUAAGUGGGUGGGUACCCCCAGCAACUCCGCCACCGCUGCCCAACAUUCAUCAUGGCGCGGUGGAGCCGGAAUCAGACCAAGUCGUACGCGCCCGCAUGGCUCGCGGCAUCCGUCAAGUGCUUGUCCAUUGGAAGGGCCAAUCUGCUGCAUCCGCAAUGUGUAGGGAUGAAAUCGGUUUCAGAAUUUUUCGGAAUUCCGGAAACCGAUUUCGAAAUUUUUCGAUCGGAUUCAUCGGUAACGGUAUUUUUCGAAAACGGAAUCGGUUUUCGGAAUUUUCUAUCGGAAUCGGUAUCGGAAUCGGCGUGGUGUUUUACCGACCGUUUCCAUCGGUUACCGGUUUUUGUCGGAAAUUAUCGGAUUUAUGUCUCGGAAAUUUCCGGAAUUGUGUCUCGGAAUUUUUUCGGAAUUUUUCAGCAUGUGAUUUUUUCGCAUCGCUUGUACAUCUCUGGAUAAGGAUUACUUAUUUUGUAUUUUUUGGACGCUUUAAGAUUUUUUUUGGGGUUAGAUGGUGUUGGAAGGCAGUUGAGAUUAACGAUUUGGUCUCUCGAACAAAUCCACCAUUUUCUAUGCACAUGUUAUGUAUUAGUAAUAUAUAAUGAUAGAGAGUCGACCGUCUGUCUUUUCCACACACAAGAUUUUAGUGUUUUCCUAUGAGGCUGUGAAAAAACCCUUUAUGUGAGGAAAAAAUAUUUCAUGAGUAAGCAUGCCAUGUCAACUAAAUCGAGUGGAUAUUGUGAAUUGUGAACUUGUGAUCUUUAUAAACUUGUUAUACUGUGAACUUGUUAUAUUGUGAACUUGUGAUCUUUGUAAACUUUUUAUAUUAUAAAUUUGUGAUCCUUGUGAACUUAUUAUAUUGUGAACUUGUUAUAUCAUGCAUGAAUUGUGAACUUGUGGUAUUUGUGAUGUUUUAUCAAUUUUGUUUUAUUGUGAAGUUUGAUAUGUUUACCGAUCGUAUUUUAGAUUUCAACCGUUACCGGUGUAUUUUCCGCACCAAACUUUCGUUUCCGAUGUUUCCGAAAUACCGAUAUUGUUUCCGUUUCCGGAGUUACCGUUUUCGAUUUUGUUUCCGAUAAAAAAUAUGAAAACGAUAAUGGUUUUAGUGUUUACCGACCGUUUCCGACCGUUUUCAUCCCUAGCAAUGUGUGAGGACUUGGACUCAUUCCGCGGCAAGUACCCCGACUUUUAGCUCGAGGACGAGCUGGGUCUCGAGGGGGGGAGAGAUGUCAUGUGGGGCCACACCUACAGCAGGCGUAGGCGCGCCCGCGACGUGCGCAGGGCGACCGAACAGGCAGGCCAGGCGCCAACAGCCAGGGGCUGAUUAGCCGGCUAGGAUAAGGCUAGAGAAUAAGAUUGAGAUGAGAGAAUUGUGGAGAGUUGGUUAGCAGCAGAUAAGUUAAAGAAAGUAGGAUUAGUUGAGAGUUUGUAGCAGAAGUUGAUUAGCCCUAGGGCUAUUUAUAAGCCGCAUGGCAGUAGGGAAUAAAUCAAGCAAUUUGUUAUCUAUCCAAUCUUCUCUCUCCAAUUCCAGCAAACCUGCGGCAGGGUGCUCCCCUUGUCGGAGAAGACAGACCGAGACUACAAUCACCGUAGUCGAGGGCCAGCUACCCUAGGGGCCGACGCUCUUGACAUUGUUUCCAGACCUGUAAUUUCGUUGUUUGGAAUACGUUUUGUUGAGAUUUGAGAAUCACCAUGAUGCUGACGAUGCAAGUGCGGCUACUGCCAGACUCUGUAACCUACCAAGCUUCCUUUACAAAUUUUUGAAACUUUUUUUUUUGCCUCGCUUACUGAAAAAGAAAGUCCCUCUUUAUUUCCCACUUCUCCUAGUUCGUUGUAUUUAAACAUGGCAACGACUGCUAUGCAAGCAGUCCUUCUGUACAAGUGUGCAAGGAAACCAUCCGAUCCAUUAGGUAUUAGUCCAACCGUAAGUCACAUUUAACACUUAAACUCUUCCACUGCCAGCUCAAUAAUAUUUAUAAAAAAACCCCUAACAAACCAUGGUUGUAUCUGUGGUUGAAUCGUAAUCUAAUGGAUCAGAUGGUUUACUUGCAUGUUUGCACAGAAGCAUUGCUUGCAUAGUAGUCGUUGCCUACCUUUCAACAAGCUGAGUUGAUUGGAGUUCGUUGACGAGGUAGGCAGUCCUGGUUUUGGCUUUGCAAUGAACAUUGAAAUAUCAUGAAAGGCAGGCAGUAACUUCUGAAGUUUCUUAUCUUUUGCCGAAUGUUCACGUCUACUAUAAUUUUAUAGAGACAAAAUACUAUAAAAACUGCAGCCGCUAUCACGGACGGAUUAAACCACAGCAAACCACAUUGAACAAGACUGGAAGCUAGGUUGUGACCAAACUAAACUUUAUGCUCGCUAGUACACUGGUGACCCUCGUUUGCUGCAGCAUGUCUACUCGUUUUUCCAGCCCAGCUGUUAGAGAAUUCGGCCUUGGAAGUUCCAACCGAGUUCAUGGAAAUGCUCUGUAAUCGAAGACUGGAGAAGUCUUAUCUCGUUCUGCAGAGAGAUGCUCGCCUGCUACGGCGCGUGGAGCUAAGCUCGGUUAAAAACGCCUAUGGGUAUUUAGCACGGCAAAUAUUUCGUCGUCCUCUAUUUUUGGUCACCAACGCACCUGUACAGGACAUCGGACCUUGGUCUGCAGAAAGGUAUCGCUGAACCGUAGUGUUAGGAAGAAGUUCUUUUUUUUCCAUUUGCGGAUAAUGUUAGGAAGGUUUACGACGCAAAUGAACAGAACAUGGAGGCCAGCAAGCCUAAUGACGAACGAGAUCCAUCGUGUUUAUUCAUAGAACAGGCGCCUCUCCACACAAGGUAUACAUACGAACAAUGCAGUAUGUGGGUACGUAUAUGGUACAAAAGAAUAAGCGAUAAUAGCACACACACAGCUUGUUCGCUGCGGCUUGCUGCGGCUGCAAUCCGGCUGCGGCUGCGGCUUCUACAGUAUUUUUCUCUCUAUGGAUUGCAGCUGCAGCAAUCCAAACAGCUGCAACAGUGUCGGCUUGCAGCCAGCCGAACACGCCCACAGAUCGCAACGGCCACCAGGGACAGGGACACAACCACACACACCCCAUCACCGCUACUUCUAGUGCUAGCUAAGACGAAAACGAACAGGGUCCAACCCAACCCCGGUUCAGCAGCGAACCGGCACGUCCACGGCAGCGCCUACUGCAUGAGGCCACCGGCGACGAGGACGGAUAAGACGACAGAGCAAGCCACAUCCAGGGCCGACGCCGCGGCCCCCGCUGCCGCGCCCGUGACGGGCGCCGGCGCGGGCGGCACUCCCAGGUCCGUCUCCUGCGCCGACGCCGCGGCGAACAGCACUGCCGCCACGGCCACGGCCACGAGCAGCGCUGCGGCGCGGGACGCCAUCGUGGGCAGAUCGAGGCGACAACACGGACCGCGAGAGCGCGUAGUGGCGGCGGCGGCGGCUAAGCUAAAGCGAGGCAGAGGAGAGGAAGAGGAAGGGGCGGCGUGGGGUGGUGAGACGGGGACGGCGUGGACAGGCGGUGUAUAUAAGGAGGUGGCGUGGCGUGUGCACGCCGGUCGCGGUCGCGGCCACGGCCCGCGUGGGCACCGGGCGCUCGCGUCGCGUGUCUAGGCGCGCCGCGUCGGGCGCGCGGACGGCGCGAUCUUGCGGGACCUGGCCAAUGGCCAUCUCGAGCACGCGAUUCCAUUCCAUCCCUCGACACCACGAACGGGUCUGGUCUGGUGACGCCCGCGGCUCAACCACGACGCGUCCCCCCGCACGCCGGCACACCGGCUACGCGAUCGACCGGCAAUGGUAUGCAACAUCCAUCACGGAUGCUCCCAACUCACCUCCGGAUCUCCCUACAACACGCCGGAGCGGCUCACGGUGUCCCAGAACGUGCGUGUCCGGCGCUCCGACGUUCUGUGUAUGAACAUCAUCCUGGAGGCGAGGCGAGACCGUGUCCCUGUGCGCGUGUAAGUCAGUCAGUCUCAGUCAGUCUGAUCAGCGCCGUCUGCGUUGCGCGCGUUACGGAUGGGGUGGAAGUUGGAACGAAAGGGAGGCCUAAGCGGCAGGCAGAGAGGCCGUCCGCCUCACCGGUCGACACGCCAGAGAAACCGGAUCGGAGUCAUUUUUCUCUUUCCUUUCCCAUCACUCGCGCGGAAGUGCCAUGUCCCCGUCGCCGGAGCGCCGAAAUGCGUAAAAACGAUGGGUUAUUUAUUUAUUUAUUCUCUACUAUCUAGACUAAUGUAGACCCUGCGCGCAUGCAGCGUCCAGUGCGUGGCCAUGUGCCGGCCCUAGUCUAAAUGCAAUCCCUAGCACACGUAUCACCCAUGCAAGUAUGCAACUAAACUGGCGCGUGCAACCAACUAAACUGUCGUGCAUGCAAACGCCUCCGCUCCAUACAAAGCUUGCAUGUGCGCGGCCGUGCAACUUGCAAGUAUAUAAAUGUCAAUAGCAUUUGAACCAUGAUUAUUUGCUUUAAACUCACAUCUAUCUAGCCAACAUGACAUAUAUAUUUUUCGUUUUAUAUUUUAUAUUCAAGUAUAAUAUAGACUUUUAUUAAAAAAAAAUAGGGGAAAAAUUAAAACUGGGUCGUGUUCCGGCCAACCAUGAUACUUUUUACGUGAGUUUGCUACCUCGAUGCUCUGUAUGAUUUUCUUUGCGUUUAAUAUCAAUUAUGACUAUGAUAACUAAUUUCUAGUCGUUUUGUACCGAAAAUAUAGAUUGGUCAAGUCGUUUAGUAAAACAACAUAUCACGCAUACUUGCAAAUUGUUUUCACAUCAUAAUGAAAUAUAUAUCCAUAUGCAAAUUAGCAAGUCAAUUUUUAGAAUAGUUCAUUGCCAUCGGUUCAUAACUUUAUGCGAAAGAAUGUUGACUCUAUGUCUGCUUAUACGAAAGAAUGUUGUUUCUUCCUUUUCCUAUAGGAGGGUGAAAUAAGUUUUACUAGCAGCGUUGUACCGAAGGUGCCAGUAGUCUCAGUGUGACAGUCGCUCCUCAAGAUGGCCUCAUUGGCAGCAAAAUGUUCUCUGAUGAGUUGACUGUCGUGCUUGACUGGGAUUGUACUUUAUCUCUUCUGUCAGCUAAGCUCUGUUGAAUUCCUCCGGCAUCAACGUUAGCACGAUGGUUCGCCCAACCGAGCAUGUCCCCGGUCCACAAAACUAUAUAGUUGAGAACCUCACAUGUAGAUUCAUAGUAGUUAACAAUUUGCUUAAACAAACUGACGUGGUUGUUUGAUCUAUGCAAAAGAUGGCACUGUUUGUUGGUUUUAAUAGUGAAAUGUCAUCCUAAUCAUUUAACUAGCUAUGUCCAACACAUUAUGUAUUUAUUUAUCUAAAUAUUGCCAGCCGCUCUUCAAUACAAAUUACAUGGUUGCCUCAUGGUCUAUGUAGGGAAACCUUGUUUUUAGAGGAUCCAUCUUUAGAUGGGUUGAAUAUUGUCAUAUUACUUGUCUUUAUGUAAGUAAUGUAGAAAUCAUGCCAAAACAUAUUUCCCCACAACAUAAAAGAUAAGAGGGUUAUAUUUGUGAGCUAAAAUAAUUUUGAUAGUCACAACUCACCGUCUCCUUUCGAUAGGCUUAGGAUCUCCUUUUUAUAAUUUUGACCCUACAAUGUAAAAUUAUUCUAUGGAGGUCAUGGUAUAUCAUCAUAUCAUGUAUUCAACUUAGAGUUUGUCUAUUUCGAUUAAUAGUUACAUUGAGCUAAAUUUUGGUCGUUCAAAAUGGCACAUUUCGACAUUUGUUAUGAUUGUUGAGUUGAUUCUUGAUAAUAUCACUAAAGAAUGACCUAUGUGUAUACAAGUGUCCCCUGUUGCAACGUACGGACAUAUAGCUAGUCAUUUAUGAAGCCAGUAGUAGGUUCAGAAGCUGAGAGCGGCUCAGUGAGGUUCGGAGUUGGGAAACCACAACACAAGGGCCUCUAAACCUGUGCUGUGCUGUCACACCCAGCACGUCGUUCCACCACUACAACCGUGGAUCGCUGUUGACCAAACGUCCUUUGCGAGGGAUAGCUCAUGUUUGGGAGUUUGAACUAGCCAGACAAGUAGGAUUGCCUUGUUGUAGCGGCGGCAUCAGUGAUUCCACAGUUCGGGCCUGUUUGUUUACCCCAAUGGAUUAUAUAAUCUGGAUUAUUUUUGGAGGAUUAUAUAAUCUAGAUUAUAUAAUUUGGAUUAUAUAAUCUGAGUAGUCCUGUUUGUUUACCCAGAUUAUCUGGCGUGUUUCUGUUGGGCGGCGGGCUUCUCCGAUCCGAUAGGCGCAAAAACGAUUCGGUAGAUUAUAAUGGCAAUGGUGGGUAAUUUCUAGGAAACUUGAAAGGGUAGUGGGGAAGUGGGAAAAAAAUAAUCUGAAAUAAGCACCUCCUCACUUACUUAUGGAUUAUCAUAAUCCAAGGGGUUAGAUUAUAUAAUCUGGGCAAAUAAGCUAGAUUGUUUGUUUGCCUCUGAGGAUUAUUUAAUCCAGAUUAUAUAAUCUGGGGGGUAAACAAACAGGCCCUUCAUCUGCUGCCCUAAUAACAGGAAUUUUUUUUCCAGGUUCGUUCACAACUGAUCGACCGUAGCUAGCGUCGUUAGGUGGCUACCUAAUGCUUGGAGUUGAUAACAAUAUAUUUUGCUUGACUGCUUGUGCAUUUCUUUCACGCUGGCCAAAUGAUUUGGGAAUUCCGAUGAGCUAUCAACCCAACCACAUGGAUUUUGUUUUGAAGUUCAACGCAUUGCAGUAGCCUCUCAUUUGCUAUUUUCAAUUAACUUGUUCGGUUAUUUUCAUUCCAUGUGAUUUGAAGGAAAUUGAGAUGUAUUAAGAUGUAUUCUGACUUACGAUAAAUUUAAAUCGACUCAAUCCCACCCAACCCAAAUGGAUUAGCAUCAAACCGAACAAGCCAUAAACCAAUAAAUCACAAGACACAUGUUUCAUGCAAAAGAAGCUUCGAUCAACUGCUCAGAGCGAUGGUUCCGCUCUAGUAUAUACUAGUAAAUGGCGCGCGCCUUGCGCGCGUGAGAAAAAACCGUAAUAUAAGUCAUAACAAUAUUAUGUUGAUUUGAGCAAGUUGUACAUGCACAUUUCAUAAUAUAAAUGAUAAUUUAGCAAAUUGUUUAUAUAUAUAUAUUGUAGGUUAUAUAUGUAUAUACACAAGAUAAAAUAAUAGUUGGUUCUGGAUUAGACAAAUCUGGUUGCUAUAUAUGAUACGACUUCAAAAUUGCUUAAUUCAACCAUGACUUUAUAUUAAGUAAAAGUUCAUUUUGUACUGGUUGCAGAUUAAAAGUGUUAUCACUAUUAAUUUUCAAUCAUUAUGAAAACUGCCUUGCAAAUUGAAAGAUCGUAGUCUUAAGUCUAACCCAGGAAACUUUUUUUCUAGAUUAUGGCUGAAACAUUGUGAUUAUGGUUCAAUGAGACAAAAAAGGAAAAUGUUUUUCUAGAUUAUGGUUGAAACAUUGUGAUUAUGGUUCAAUGAGACAAAAAGGAUCUCCGUAUACAUGAUAUACAUUGGUUUAUUUACGUGCAAAGUAUCAGGUAUGGCACGGUAUAUUGGACGAUGAAAAUAAAGGAACACAUUUUGAAUUUUCUGAGUAAUAUUUCAGUAGUAUCGUGAGUAAUGAACCAAUGAUAAUUCAAGACAUUCUAAGACCAUAAUUUAAAACAUGUAGUGAAGCCUGAUUACCGGAGGUGGCAGUUUCCGUUUCAGGUGGCAGGUGAAAUUGUCAAUGAGAAAUUCUUCUAGAGGAAGGAUGAAGAUCAUAGAGAAUGCAUAAUUUGUCAGAGAUGAGCAAGUGCAUCUCAACAUUCAAUUAUAUAUAAGCUGAAGAAAACAACUAUGCGGGAAAUUGAGACCCCAAUUUUACUAAAAUGUAACAGAAAUGUUGAAAUUAUAAGUAUUUUAUAUUUAUAAAAAAAUACGUGAAUCACACGUAUAACAGAAGUGACAAAAUUAUCUGAAAUAAUUCUGUCACUACUAUUGCUUAACAGAAAUUUUGUCACUUUUAUAAUUUCAGCAUUUCUGUUAUAUUUUCAAAAAAAAAGGUACAACACACAUCAAUGGUUUAGCACAAAACAAUUUUGUUUUUACCUUCUAAAUUGAACUUUAUAAUAUAACAUAAAUGCUUAAAUUCAGUUCAGUACAAAAAAUUACAGAAACCAUGUAAUCAAUUGUUGAUCCUGCUAGCCCUUAGGUAUUCUCUUCCAGAGUUCCAGGUCCGACUGUGAUGUGAUUCUCUAAACAUGGAAACAUGGCUUCAUCAAACGUUUCCCACCAAAGAGCUCACCACAAGCAAGGUAAAUGUGUGUUUUAGUCAAAUCCCAUAGCAGGUAGCCCGUAGAAUAAGACCUACGUGCACAACAAACCAAAUAGAAUAUUAGGUUACUUCAGUAGUAAAAAAUUGUUCAUGAUGAAAGGCUUACCAUGUGCCUAGAAAGGCAUCAUAAUACUCCAGCAGCACUCGUUUUUUAUUCUGAGAUGAAACCACUUAUGCCCCAUUUAGCAGCUUGGGAAUGAAAUUUUAUCCCUUCGUGUAGCAGGUUGGGAGGUGACGAACUAACAAAAGGGGUAUUAGCAUCACCAAACCAAACCAGACCACACAGACGGGCAGCCCUUGGAAGAACUGCGAGCGAGGCAGAAGGGCAACAUGCCUGCCGACAGAGAUGAUGUAUGGCACCCGGAAUUCCAGCAAGGUGAGGAGAAAGCUUGAGGACUCCGUGUGCAAGAGGAAGGAUGGUGUGCCUCCUCCUCCAGGCUCUCUUUUCCGAUGCGCCCUUCGCCGCUUUCUUCUCAUCCACCACGAAAGCAAAGGAACGGAAGGGAGAGGAAUCGGAUGACGUGAUGCAACGAUUCCUAGCCGAUGGUGGGGCUUCCAUCUCCCGUGCUAUCUUGAAGCUUUCGUUGAGCGUGUCUUGACCGGACUGCUGCGCGCCCCUUGAUCCAUCUCCCAGGCGCGUGGUGACUUGGUGGACAAACGGGGGCGGCGUUGCGAGGAGAAAGGGAGAGAGAGGUGGGGGCCGCAGGGCGAUGCGAGCAGCGGCGACCAUAGGUGGGGUGAAGCGAGGCGGCGAGGGAUGGGGAGAGUAGGCGGUCUAGCGGCCGCGUAUCCGUGGGAGGUAGAGGAACCGGCGACCGGAAACGUCGAGACUCUUCGAGCCGCGAAAGGGUGGGCUGCUCAGUCCGAUGAAGAUCCUACGACUGUUAAUAUUUCAAUGACGUGGCUGCACGAAGAGCGACCUUUGUGUCGCGCUUUAAUAUAUAGGAAUGUCCGCACCGUGACCCACAUAUAAAAAUAGGUCCGCAUCGCGACCUCUAGGCUUCCAAGCGCCACCGCUGAUCUUUUCGCUGGAGAAGCUGAAGCGACACGAAUCUGGAGAGCCGAUCCGCAGUUUUGGCGACAACAAAAGGGUCUAGUCCAUAGACUCGAGAGUUACGGAUCGAAACAAAGAGCCGAUCCAAAGUCCAAGCAGACCAGAAUUAACAUGGGAGUCAAAUCUACCCGAGCCGAUAACUCGGCCCAGUCACACUCGAGGGCUACCGUGUUGAAGAUAUACUAGUGUAUGGCGCGCGCCCAUGCGCGCGUGCCAAUCCGUUUAGCAGCAUAGUAUCUCUACUACUCUAUAAGAGUGUAGUGUAGACUUCACAACCCGUGCACCAUGGUUCUGCCUCCGACACCCUCUCGCCCGUGCUCCGUUGAUCCCGCGGUCCUCGCCCAGCCUCAGUAAACCACUCUCGCAUGUGGCCGCGCGUUGCCUGCCUCCCUCGCUCUCUAUCGAUGGAAGGACGCAAUUCAGGGAAGCCUCCGCAGCCGCCCUGCCAUUCUCGCCCUCGCCCAACACUCCAUCGAUGGAAGGGCAUGGUUCCAGGGAUUGCCUCCCCAGCAGAUCCCACCAUCCUCGCCCCGCCUGCACUCCGCCAUCCUCGCUGCCACCAUCCACAAGGCAACACCAUGCCCCCGCUCCUCUACCAUCCACGCCAUCCUCGCCCCACGCCCGCCCACACACCUCGCCAUCCUUCUCCUCCUCCGCGCAGGUCCUCGAUGCCCCUUCCCCCACCCCUGUCGUCCCCGCAUAUUCGGAUCCGGGGUUCGCUCGGGUUGCCUCCUCGCCGGGGACCCACCAUGGCGGUCAGGGAGCAUGGUGGGUGGGGGAGAUGGGGAGGAGCGGAGGAAGCACGACGUCCUCUAGGAAGAAGCACAGCCGCAGCCGCCCGCAGGCUAUGGACGAUGACAUCGACAGCUCCUGCUCCACCCCGUUCGCCAGCGCGCCGUCCAGCCCCGGACGUCCCCACGCCAUCAGCGGCGGAAGCGGAGGCGGAGGCUACUUCUUCAGCGCGCCGGCCAGCCCCAUCCACCACCUCCUCCUCUCGACCUCGUGCUCGGCCUCCGCGACUCCCAGCACCGGUGGGCGUGGGUGCGUGGGCGACGUGGAGUUCGAGUUCGGCGGGCCUGGCGGGCCCAUGAUCUCCGCCGACGAGCUCUUCCACAACGGCCAGAUCCGGCCGCUCACCCUGCCCCCGCUCAGAAUAGAGCGAUGACGACCUGAAAGAGCUUCUGCAGCUAGCUCCAAUAAAGAAGGUAAACCCCAAAGGCCUACACAUCUUCUACUACUUGGUCCAGGUUUUUAUCCUCAACCCUCCUAACCAUUAUAUUGUUGCCUUCUGGUGAAAAAAUAAUAUAGUUUUCUUGAUUUUUGUGAUGUUGGUUGUGCCCUGCAUAGCAUGUUAAGGUCUGUUUUUCAUGCCAUUUAUAAUUUUCUGUUGUUAUCACUAUUUAUGAUAUUUUUGUUAUGCUCUAGGUAAUUUUCGACCACCAACACCUACACUUCCUUCCUGGCCUACACCGUAGAAAGCAGAGAAGCAUUCCUCUCCUGCCCUCACUCUGGUUGGUGAUGCUCCAAUUUUUACCCCUAACCCCCAAGGCGACAACUUUCAAGAUCCAGAAGGUAUUAUCUAAAUCCAAAUCUGGAGCUAAAACUUUGAUUUCAGUUGGCGCCAUAUGACAUGCUUUUCAAUCAUCUUCAAAGUUGAUGCAAAUGCCAUAUAUGUGCGCAGUCAAAUGCCAUGCCACAACAAUUAGAGGAUGAGUUCAAGAGAUUUGGUGCCAUUAAACAUGAAUGCAUCCAAGUUAGAAGUAAUAAGGUACUUGCUUUUCUUAUUAGAAGUAAUAAGAUACUUGCUUUUCUGCUAUCUAAUUUUGGUAAGCCCAACUAACGUGAAAAAAUGGCUUCACAACUUAAUCGUGAACAUGCAUUUUUCUUGACAAGAAUUUAUGUUUUGCCAAAUGCUACCAGCUCGGAUGGUAUUCUUGUUUACUCCUAACACACUUUAUUCUUCAUGAUUUUUUGGUGCUAUAUUAUAUAUGAAAUCAGAACUUUUUAAAUUCAAAGCAGUUUGUGUGGUUGUUAGUGUUGCAAGUAUUUUGUUAUUCCUGUUUUGGACCAUUUUUCUACCAUCUUGCCUGUAAGUUGUAACUCCUGUGAACACAGAAAUACUCAAGAAUUUGUGAUGUUUUCACUGCCCCUUUUGAUAAUCAAUUCAUGGAUUAGUUUAGCACAUCACUCAUUUUUUCUUCUUUGUUUGAAAUUGUUUGGGUUCCUCCUCCCCAACUUUCAGAAUUACCUAUUUCUAUUGUAUGUUUGAUAAUUUGCACUUCCACUCCAUCCACAAUUUUGGUUAAUUCAGUUAAUAUGAGUUUAUAACUGGGAAUGUCAUUCAGUAGUAUAAUGUCAUGCAGUGUCGGCUGUGGUGGAGCGGCUGUGGUCGCUCUCGCUCAAAUCCACCACCAAGAUAGGUGAUUAUUGAAAUCUCUCUGCUGUUUUGUUCCUUCUUCGAUCCUGAUUUGUGUUUUCCUGUGAUGUGUUUGCUCCUGGUGUUGCAGCAGCGAGCGAGGGCAAGUCAAUGGUGAAGUAAUAGGGUUUUGGGAGCCGCAUCAUGCAUGUGCUGCUAACCGGAACCUUGCCUUGUCUGUUGCUCAAUGUGUAUGUCUAGGCCGUGGCGAGAUUGUACGAGGCUCUGGACAGAUGCGAGGAGAUUCUUGGCAAGCGACGCUAUAUUUGUGGCGACCAGCUGACUUAAUCAGACAGAUUGGUAUCUUUCUAAAACUCAGCAAAACAUAUGCUAUUGUCCACCACACGGAGCAGUGAGAAAUCUACUAAAUCAUAAUACCAUUGAGUAGCCUCUACUAAAUCAUAAUCAUUAUAUUUUAGCCAAAAUCUAUAAAUAGAUUUUCCUACAUUAGACUUAUAACUACAACUUCUAUUUUCUCCAGCAUUUAGUUUGUAAAGCAGUUUUUACAAUGAGUCCAGUUUAAUAGCACUAAUAAUAAUAUAGGUUGCUUGAUGUGCUUUUUUCUGCAUUCCAUUUUCUCCAUCUUUUAGUUUACAGAGCAGCUUUUACAAUUAUUACAGUUUAAUGUCAAUAAUACUACAAUGAAUUCCCUAUUGCACUUCUUCUUGUGUAAAUUACAGUCAACUAUUGAUUUGUUAAAAUGUUUCUUAUAGUUUUGUCAUAAACAAAUAAAACUCUUUCCAUUUUAUCUGUCACACCGUCACCUUAGUAGCAGUUUAACUACACUGAUGAUAGUUGUGCAUUAUCCAAAACUGACACUGAAUAUAAUUCUCCCUCAAACUAAGAGUCGCACAAAAACAUGGGUACUGUUGCUGAUGUGGCAAGUAUGAGUAAUGAUGAACAGGUGGCCACUGAUGCAGCUAGAUUUUUUUUCUUCUGUUGCUGCUGCUCAGCUCAUGUGCAUGUGAUUGGAGCAGAUCUAGCACAUAUGAUGUGCUACAUAACUAACAUUAGAAUUGUACUCGAAGCAGAUCUAUCUAAAUUGAGAUGAGGCCUGAUCUAUUAAAAUUGUUGCUGCUGAUGAACUUUCUUUUAUCGGUCUGUGGGGAUUGUUUUUAGAUAACUUUUGUGAUUAGCAAGUGAUGAUUCCUUGUAAUCUUGUUUGCAGCGGAAUGAAUGCACCGAGCUGAGAAAGGACAGAACAAAGAAAGAUCUUAAAAUCUGAAAAAACCUAAUGUGUAAGUGGUUUUUAUGCCCUGGUACAUCUUAAAGACCAAAUUUGAGUACUUCUUUUUGUUGUACUUGAGCUGAUCAUUUUUUUAUGCUCCUGGGGCCUCUUCAGGAGGCGGUCGCGCCUGCUCUGCCGAAAGUGCGGGGGCACAUCGGCAGCGCCUACGGGGAGGAGGACGCCAGGGAAGCCGGCUCCUCCAGCCUCUUCGGCGGUGACGGCUCCUCGGACGACACGCAUCCGAGCUCCGGCUCGGGCCACCGCAGCAGCGUCGCGUCGAGCCAGAAGAGGUACGUGGUCAGGAUCAGCGCGCUGCAGCCGUCGUCGGAUGACUCUGCUGUCGUUUCCUUCACGCAUCGUUGAAGCAGAUGUCGAGUUGGUGUGCUAUGUUCUUCUUCCAGCCUGGAUGAAUUUGAAUUUGGUGUAACCUGGGAUGGCGAUGGACUGCAGGAGGACGAAGUGGAGCAAGGAAAGAUCUUUCUUGGCGUGUCUAGACUUUUCAGAGGUUUGAUCAGCUGCAUGCUGCUUUUAGUCAUCUUGCUGUUUGUAAUGCCUCUGUGUUUCCUCUGUACAUUGGUAAGUAUAGAGUAACAUGAUUUUUGAAAUUUUGGUUGGUGUCGGGAAAAUGAUUAAAGGUUUUCUGUAUUUCGAUUGGUUCUAUAGCGUUUGUAUUAUGUCAUAGAAUUGAAAUUUUGAUUAGUCUUGUACUCUUGUCUCGCUUGCAUGUGUGGAUGGUUUAGCUUCCUAGCUCUCUUACUUUCUUGAAAAACAUUUUUCUGGUACUGUGAUAUCAGUAUUUGAAUUUUACUGUAGGAAUCCAGAUUACACAAUUAGGGCCUGUUUGGUAGAAUAAAUGCUACUCAUGAUUUCCAUUUUUCCUGUUGCAGGCUCAGUGGUGACAUCAGCUGAGGUCCGUUAGUUUGCCUGUGCAGCCAUGCCUCAAAUCUAGAACACCAUGCGGCAAAACUGCACACUCCUAGCUGUUCUUUGUGGGGAGUUUGCUGAGAAGCAGCGGACACCAGCUUCCCUGGCGCUAGGCACAAAGCGGUUGCGGCUGUCAUACCCUUUCCUUGAGCUCGCUUCGUUUGGGAGACUGGAGGUCAGUUCGUGUUGCUGUGUGGUGCAGGCAGAUGUUUGUUUUUGAGUUUUGAAGUUAAAAAACUAAAGGUGGACUUCGGGGAUGCAGGUGCACACGCUAAUCAAUCCCACUCAGGCGGUGCAUCUUGUCUUCUUGUCUCUAGGGGCAGCAGCAAGAGAAUGAGGAGAUUGGCACGCUUGUCUGGGGUGAUACAGAUUUAUCUGACCCGCAGAUGUUUGUCUCACACCUUUGUAUGAGUUUUUAAAUAAGUUGUACUUAUCCAAACUUGCUUCACUUAAUCUUAUCUAUCAAAUUCCCAUGUACAAUUACAUACUCCAUCUGUUUAUGAAUGUAUGUCGUUUUGGAUGUGAAUACGCUUCAUGGGGCAACCCUAGCAGUGUGGCUACUACUAGCUAACUAGCAUUAUAUGUUGAUGAACACUAUGCAAAUAAUGUAUGAGGGAGUAUCUUUUUUAUGAUGGACAUUUCAUUUUACUUUUAUUUGGUUAGUCUUGGUUAUUGUUCAUAUGUUAUAGCCAAAUUUAAACUUCUCAAUAUCACGUACCCAAAUCAACAUACAUUAUAAAACCGAGUUUAAGAGUUAGCACAUGUUCCACUGUUUCUACCAUCGUCCAGUUUUCACUAUUUCCAUCAUCAAUACUUUUGUAAAAAAAACUUUAUAUUUCCUUGUAAUUAACAUGCAGUCCAAUUGUUGUGCACUAACAUUUGAUCGAAUAAUCUGUACGCCGUCGCAACGCACGGGCACUCACCUAGUAAUGUAUGAUGAUUAUAGGUAUAUUAGAGAGUAAAUAAGUACAUAAGAGCAAAGACAAAGUUAACCAGAUUCUAGAGUAAUUCAAGAGCCAGGGAUAGCUUAAACAUACUAGAACUCGAGGCGCCCUUACGGGCGCCAUAUUAGGACAACGCAGAAUCUGUGUUGAAAAAUGUUUUUAGUUUGAAUAAAUCUAUGUUAAAUCUGAACAAAACUAUUUGAUGCAGAAGUUGCUGUCUGAAUCAUGGAAGAUGCUGUCGAAACCUUGUGCAAACACAGGUUUCAGGUUAAACAUACAAAACAUCAACUUCUUUGGUAACCUUGUGGGACCAUGUGCCAUACAAAACAGUAGGUUCUUUAGUCUAAACCAUAGAAGCUUUGUGGUACCUUGGGCAUGCAAGCAGCAUACAAAACAACACCUUCUAUGGUUUCAAUCUCGUACCAGCAUAAAAGCUGCUGUAUACAAAACAGAUUUCAGGUUUCUACGAAGUAGUAUGCACAACAUACACAACAGGUUUCAGGUUACCAAAAAGCAAUAUACACAGCAUAGAAAAUAGGUUUCAGGUUACCAAAAAUACCACAAACAGAUCUCACACCAGCCUACACAGGUUUCAGGUUCAAAUACAAGCAUACACAUGUUACAGAUUGUCAGCAUAGGACUUGUGUAACCAUACAUAGAUAUAAUUCAUUGAAUUCCUAAAUCACAUACUAAGAACAGCUGCUUCUUUGAGUGACACUGUCACCUCUUGGAUACUGUGGCUUGGGAAAUGGUUGCAAGGCCUUGAGGGGGUCAAAAUAAAGUUGACAAGGCCACUGAUGCAUUGUUGACAUAGCAUGCCCCCAUAGGGCCACCGAUGCUGCACAAGCUUCUUCCUAAUAUCAUUUAUUGACUGUUGUUUAAUCUAUAUACUAUCUCGCUAGUCUACAUGCCGAGUGUUUAUAAACUGGAGGCCCGUAUUUUUACUGUGUUUUUUUCUAAAAAAACAAUACAACAAAAGUAGGAAAAAUCCUGUUAGAUUCAAACCACAAAAAAGCAACUAUAAUGCAAGCAAACAAAUGGUAUAUAACCAAAAAAAUCCAAUCAUUUGUGACCCUGAAAAGGAGAAACUUUCACAGUAACACUUACUUUUUAAAAUCAGCUAUAAUGCUGGUGAUUAUGAUCUGCUUUCAUUGUAUACUCAUGCUAUGCUGGUGGCCCCACCAUUCAGCCUAUGGUUUCUUUCUGGAAGGAGAUCUAGACAGGUGCUAGAUAGGAGUAUUGUAUUUCUUUUGUGUUUCCUGGUACCAGCAAACUCUGCAAUAUAGAUAGAAGCUAAUCCUAUCUUCAGCUCUUCUCUUUGCCUGACAAGGCGCCUUUCCUUGUCCACUUUAUUUUAAUUUUACCAAUAUAAUAUUAUUGGCUGGUUUGGGGAAAUCCUCCCAAAUCAGGGCUAACAAAAAGAUUUUUUGGCAGGUUCAGCUAAUUGCUACUCUAAAGAUGGUUGCCCUCCCUAAAAGAAUACAUAUAGAGCAUGCGAAAGAGCGAUUAGAUAUGAUUGUUCUGGAAUAUCACCUUGAAUUCUGUUGCCGGAGUAUUCAUGAACUUUUCAAGUAAACCAUAAGCUAUUGGGGACCAUUUUUCUUUAGGAUUCAGAAAUAGAAGAAUUAACAGAUAAUUGACUUACCAAAAAGCGAGUCCCACAGGUCGUAUGUAGAAGGAAAGAUCCCUACAGUUGACCCACUAAGCAUCCUAAGAAGGGAACAAAAAGAAUAAGCUAUAAUGAAGCUGCACAAACAUACACAUCUAAGCAGGCCAUGCACUCAGUCCGAAGUAUGAAAUUAGAAUCAAGGAGGAGAUUUUCGAGCUGCGUGCUUGUAAAAUAAGAUUAACAACCCCGAAAAUCAUGAGUGCAUACUUAAUAUUUUUCCUAUCCAAUGGUCACCUUUAAGUCUCAAUGGUAGACUCCUUUUCUUGUGACAAAAAUCAACACCGUCGAUAAGCUACUGAAAGUAUCUGUGUGCAUCUGCUUCAGUGAGUCUCCCAUGAAAAAUCUGAAAAUUGUAUGUUUCAGUGUCAUUAGUUUUCUUACCACAAUUUCAAGAGAAUUGUGGUAGUCCCCUAGAAAAACAUGCCUAGGAAUUUAAGAUAAAUUUGAAACAACACACCUCCAUAGUGCAUGGUACAGCUAUACAUCGCCACAAAUUGUUGAUGUUCAGACUCAAACAAAAAAUUCACAUAGAAACAACAAAUUGCAGGUGUAUAUGCACUGAAGACCAAAUUCCACCUGAAAUCUGCUUUUCGUAUGAGUUUUUCCAAAAUGAGAUGCAUGAGAUAUAAAUAUUGGAGAUUGCAGUACUUAUAUAAUAUUUUUCUAAAUGUAUGUGCAGGGAAAUACAUAACAAGUCCAAAAAAAACCAAAAACACAAAACUUCCAAAAUGAGAUGCAUGAGAUAUAAAUAUUGGAGAUUGCAGUACUUAUAUAAUAUUUUUCUAAAUGUAUGUGCAGGGAAAUACAUAACAAGUCCAAAAAAAUCAAAAACACAAAACCUUACUGAGCGGCGAGUGGCAUGAAGGAUCUUAUUGAUCUCGCCAAGGGCCGCGUGCUCGAGGAUGAGGACGACUCGUUCUUCAUCGUGGAACGUUGGGGUGGUUGAGGCCACACUGGAUCUCGAUCUCCCACCACAGGUGCGCGUGGAAGUGGUACAUAUCCUAUUUAAGUAUAACAUAACUUGUUCAGAUUUCUCUGAAAUCACAUCACAAUAAUAUUAGGCUGGUACAAACACUCCAUAGUACUUACUGAUAUGAUCUUGAUCAAUACCUUCAACAUGAUAGCUUCGUCAAUGGAGUUAUGCAAGUUUUCAUGACCUGCACGGGGAUAAGAUCAUGGAAAAAAUGUCAACCAUAGGUAUACAAGCAUGGGGCUUCACCUUCUUAUUUUUAAUUUUGCCCAUAAUCUGAAACAUAAUGGAUUUAUCAAUUUCUGACAAUCGUGGACAAAUCAAACCACUCAAAAGGCAUAGAUCUUCCAUGUGAACCCCUGAUAAGCGGGGGGAAAAAUCCAAAAGUCACUCGACUGGUCUUUUUACCUAAUUUUGGUCUAUAAUUUUGACUUUACAAAAAAACCUGACUGCAACCAAUUGUCCCUACAAAGUUUAAGAGAAAGCUUAAUUCAGGUUAACAUAAAAACACAUGACUAUAUAUAUAUAUAUAUAUAUAUAUAUAUAUAUAUAUAUAUAUAUAUAUAUAUAUAUAUAUAUAUAUAUAUAUAUAUAUAUAUGUGUGUGUGUGUGUGUGUGUGUGUGUUAUUGUUGCACUAUUUUCCGUUGCAACGCACGGGUAUUUACCUAGUAGAGGAUAAAAGCUAAAGAACAUGAAAAUCUUUAAAAAGAUCGUCUUCUCCUUGAGCCACAAGUAGCUGUCGCAGCACCGGGACUGACGCUGCUGCAGGCUUCUCUAUUAGGAGGUUUAGGAUUCCUGAUGGACAGCACGUUCUGCAUCUGGACGCUGUCAGUUUCUCUUCUUUCGAAGAAGCCCAGGGAGCCCUCCAUGAUCAGCUUCCCGGAGCCAAAGGCGGGGGGGCAAUGCCGAAGGCGAAUACGAAGGCGAAUCGGCGGCAGCCUCCAUAUCGUCGAAGCUGAGAGACCAGAUGAACAGCCGCCCCAUGUCGUCCUCCACUGCUGGCAGGUAGUCGUCCGGUGGGUACGAGAUUGACAGCCCCAUUUUCCCUGAUGGCAAGAUGUGGUGCCACACAUACAUGAGCCUUUCGCCGUCUUUCUUUUUCUCUGAUUGGAUUGGAUUGGAUUCGGUUGUUGGAUUGGAUUGGAUCUCACAAUCUGCGGUCCAAUCUGCAUGUGCCAAGGAAGAAUGGACACCAAGUUCAAGUUAUGUUCCUGAAUCUAAAAAAAGGUUCAAGUUUUGUGAUUGGGCAAGAACUGUUUCAGAAAAAAGAACACAUUUGAAGCCUUUUUGGGUUGGGUUUAUGCUGCUCUUUGCAAACAGUUUCCCAUCUUCAGGAAUAGAUUGCAGGUCACGAAGCAAGGAAUGGAGAACAAUCAAGGAAAGUAAAGGAAGCAUGCAAAUCAACAAGAACAGCAACCAUCUUUAUCUUGAGAAGGGCAUGCAAGAUCAGAAGGAAAACUAAUGGUGCAAACAUUGACCAAGAAUCAAGAAACAGACCUUGCCUCCAAAAUCCAACGUCUUCUCUAAAAGUUUAAAAAUUAAACUCCUUUCUAAAUAAAAUACAACUCCACAUCGAGCAAUCUCGUUCGGCUGUUCGUUGGCCUUUCCUGCCCCAAGGUGCACCGGUGCAGGCAGGGCGGCAAGAUCAACCACCAGCAAAUCGCAAGAACAAGAGAAGAAUCAAUCCGACAGCACCCCUCUCCCUCGCAUCUACUUGCUCGCCCAGCAGCUGCCCAAGAACAAGAGAAGAAUCAAUCCGACAGCACCCCUCUCCCUCGCAUCUACUUGCUCGCCCAGCAGCUUCCCCAACCCUCGCGUCCGCAUCGAUUCAAGGCAGCUCAAUCUUAUAUAUUCCAUUCCGCUCGGUUGGAUUCAUCUUCCCCUCGCCCUCCCUCGUCGAUAAAACCGAUGCACCGCACCGCCUCGCGAACCCUAGCGGCGGCGGGAUGAGGGGAAGAAGGUUACAGGCACGGCGCGUGAAGGGUCCUGUCCUGCCCAGUCCCGUCUGGUCCGCCGCGAUGCCGUAGCCUGAGAUGUGGCUGCCUCCCGCGGCCGAGGAGGAGGAGGGUGAGGCAGAGGACGUUGUGGGGAGUACUCCGUUGUGGGUGGGGGAUUUCAGGCGCGGUGGGGGUGGAGGACGAGUGGGGACUGGAGAGUGCGAGGGGGCGAGCCGCGAGCCAGAAAAGAGAGGCGGACGUGACGAAGCUCAAGCUCAACACGCGCGGCUAGCGGAAAUCUUGGGUCCGAGCUGCAGGACACGCGUCAGCACGCGAUUGGUCGAAGACGCGUCGAACGCGGAGGAGCCUCCAAUUUCUAGUGUCUUUUAACAAGAAGUAAUAAAGAACUGAAAAGGUUUCAGUACACAAAAAGAUUCGUGGUCCAAAAGUGACGAUGCUCGUCAUAGACAUGCAAAACAAUUACCUGUGCAGAAAAAGGUGAACAUCAGUUGUUGUUAAAGAGUCGAUGAGCUAUUGUCCUGUUGUGCUAUGGUUAUAAAGGUGUGCGAAGAAUAAUAUGCAAAUUAUAUUGAUUACAAACUAUGUAGAUGGUGUAGUACUAUCUAGAUAUUCAUGGCCAGUCUUCAAAAGUUGUUGUUUCAACCUGUAAGUAACGAACAUAAUUUUAAUUUUAGAUAAUUCUAUUGGAGAUGUAUAAUAAGAACCUUUUGGAGGUGAUUCAAGAGAGUUUGUAAAAUCAUUGUUGAUGUUGGGUCCAACUUUAUGUGGUUGCUGUGUAAAAAUGGUCUUAGUAUUCUAGUAAGAUUUUUUGGGAAAAAAGAUGAUGAUAAUAUGUAAGUAGCUAUUAAUAUGGAGGCCAACUUUAUCUUAAGCUGUGUCGGUUUGAGUUACCUGGAAAGUUAACCUGUGUAUAUAUAUAAGAAAUGCGUUAAGCAUGAGGUGGUAUGCUAAAAAACAGUGCUAUGUAUGUUAUGUGCGAUCCAUCACCUAAUUCCAACCCAAUGGCUAGAAACAAAAAACGAACAUGUAAGUAUUUGAUCGAGCUAAGAAGAAAAUAAAAUCUAUGAGUAAAUCGAUGGAUAGGCAAGAAAAGGAAUUGCAUGUGCAGACGCUUACUGAAGUCCGUCAUCUUUGUAAAGGUAACUCAAAGGAAAAUGAUGUGCGUGCAAAACGAAUGACAGAUCUUAGAAAAAAAGCACAUGAUCGAUGACGCAAAUGAUACAUGCAUGAAGCAGCAAAAUCGAGAUUCAAAAUGAAGGCAGAUCAUCAGACUAACCUUGCGCCUGAACUGAGGUUGCGUACUGUCAGCUAUGUAUAAAAGUCGUCUUAUUACAGUGGUGAGUUGGUCGCGUCUGGCCAGUCCCAAGCUCUCCCAGCUACCGCCACUGCGAGUCUGAGCAAGAAUGUCAAGCUUCAUUUCCUUAUAAUUAUUUUUAGGGGCGGGGGCGAUUCAACGAGCCCGAAAAAAUCGUGCAAUAGACAGAGACAUUGCUUAUCUGAAAGCAUGCACACAUUUUCGGCUGCUUGGGACCUAGCUAAAAGUAAUCUAGGAUCUAGCACGUUCGUGCACCUAUAUAUACUUUGUUCAUUAUCGAUCGAAAAGGACAUGGUGUAGAGGUAAUUACCGAAUCAUAAGCAAUCAGCAGAACGAACAGAGCUCUCCGUUAGUUUCUCUCUUGUCGCACUGUCAUGCCUUGCCCACGCAAUACGUCGUCAAAAGGGUCACUUUUUUUGUUGGUACCUGCGGAUAAGAAAAGGUGAAGAAGAGAUCGAGCUUUUUGGAACCAAGGUAUCACCAAGACUGGGCUUCUGAAAAUAGGUAUCCCGAACACCGGAAUUGGAAUUUUAGUAUUAUAAUCCUUUCAACUUCGGAAUUUUGCUAUCGGAGUGUGAUUUAGCCGAUCCGCAGUCGCUGUUACGGCAGUCCAUCUCACUACCCCGUUUCUUAGAACGGAGCGGCGCUCGAGCUGGAGUUCGUCUUGUCCGACGGCUCUCCUGGGCGCUCCUCUCCCCGAGCGCUCCCUCUCCCCGGUCCUCGGCCUGUGCUCCAUCGCUGAUUGGUUGGAGCUCCCUGGCCCGACGGUCUUCUCUGCCCGGCGCUGAGCGCUCGACCAGAGACUUCAUCGGAGUUCAGUGAAGUGUAGUGCAGCCAAGUCAGCAGAGCGUGAGGUGCACUACCAAGCAACAAGAAGAAGAAAAAUAUGGAGCUCCAGGUUUUCUGUCUGCUCGGUUGCAUCCUGCCACUGAGUCACUGACCAAAUACUGGAAUGGUUCAUCUUGCAGCAGAAUAAUUGUUCAGCCUUCCCGAACUUCAACUUCAGCACCUCGCACCAUGGGGACUACGUCGGCUUUGCAUCCGAGCCACUUUGCCUUGUCGGCCUGGACAUCGUGUCCGUUUCCGAGCCCCAUGGAGAAACCGCCGCCGAGUUCAUCAGCAACUUCUCUUCGUGCCUUACUGACCAUGAGUGGAACUGCAUCGUUCGUGCUGGCACUCCCAGGGACGUGCUGACAGAGUUCUACAGGUACACUUUCUUGCAUAGGGAAUUUAUCGGUAGACAACAUAUGCAUUGGCAGAAUCAGCACUUCAGUCACGGCAUAUUGCUUUGUAUAUGUUGGGAGCUAAAACAUCUGUCUGCUGAUCCUGGAAAUCCUCUAUGCAAAUCUAUAACGACAAAGUACCGUACGAUUCCUAAAAUUUCUUCAGAAUUAGCUGAAAUGAAAUAUUCCUGAUGUUGCAAAUCAGCUGAGCAGCUACAUGUGGCUUCAAAUUUGGAUUUGCAGUGUUGCCACUAAACUGUACAUCUUGCACAGCUCCUCAUUCAGUUACCUGAACCACAUCAGGAAAGAUGAAAGGAGAACGGACCUCUUUUUCCAUCUUUAGAACAGUAAUUCUCUGUUUACAAAAAAAAUGUCCAAUGUGAUCAUUACAAAAAAAAACCAUCAGCCAAUGGAAAUUGCAGGCAUCUAUAGCAAAAGGGGAUCCAGAGGAUGCUAUAAACACCUUCAAGAAAACACUGUCCAAUGUGAUCAUUGCAGAGAACCAGUUAUCUUCUGCGCUAGACAGUCCAGAAGAAGCUUUCACUCUGCAGACAGUGGAAGAGCUUACACAAUCUCAGGGGUAACUGGCCAACAGUGUAGUGCAGCCAAGGCAGCAGAGCGUGAGGUGCACUACCAGGCAACAAGAAAAAAAAAUAUGGAGCUCCAGGCAAGGUGCGUCUGCGUCGUCGCGAUGCUCCUGGUGGCCAGCUUCGCGGGGCUGGAUACGGCGCACGGCGCGGGGGAGUGUGGCCGCGUCCCGGUGGACCAGGCGGUGCUCAAGCUUGCCCCGUGCGCGGCGGCCACGCAGAACCUGCGCGCUGCGGUGCCGCCGAGCUGCUGCGCGCCAUCGGGCGCGUCCCCAAGUGCCUGUGUGUCGUCAUGCUGUCCGGCACCAGGGAGAGGAGCGCCGUCGAGCGCUCAGCGCCGGGCAGAGAAGACCGUCGGGCCAGGGAGCUCCAACCAAUCAGCGAUGGAGCACAGGGCCGAGGACCGGGGAGAGGGAGCGCUCGGGGAGAGGAGGAGCGCCCAGGAGAGCCGUCGGACAAGACGAACUCCAGCUCGAGCGCCGAUCCGUUCUAAGAAACGGGACAGUGAGAUGGACUGCCGUAACAGCGACUGCGGAUCGGCUAAAUCACACCCCGAUAGCAAAAUUCCGAAGUUGAAAGGAUUAUAAUACUAAAAUUCCAAUUCCGGUGUUCGGGAUACCUAUUUUUAGAAGCCCAGUCCUGGUGAUACCUUGGUUCCAAAAAGCUCGAAGAGAUCGGGGUAGCACGCGUUUCAUGGCCAGGCUUGGUCUUCUGGGAUAUCGAUCUGGAUGGAUACUACUCGAUCUGGAAGUUCCACGGCCUCUCAAAUUUCACACUUAUUUUGAUUGAUCCGGCGAUCCCGACCACGCAUCACCUGAAAAUCUAAAUCUGUCGCACCUGCGGCAAAUGCAAAUACCCAAAUAGCUUAGGUUAGGGUUUGAGUGUUGGUUUCGCAUAGAAGGAAAUGAAGAGAAGGAAGGGUGUACGCGUACCUGUCGUUUCCUAUAUGGAGAUAGCGACAGACAUCCCCCAGUUGCGUUAUUGAGCCAGGGAACGCUUGCCGGUUGAAUGGGAGAAGAAAGGCAAGCGGUGCAAGGAGUUCCGAUGCGGCGGCCGGCGGCGUAGCAAGUUGGGGAUCUGCAAAAAGAGAUGCCGCACCAUGUUGACGUACUGUAGGCGCGCUAGCUGCAACCUUUGCAGAUCCGACCGCGCAGAGGUCGCCAACAACGAUGCCAGCACCGCACCAUGUGAAGGGCUCUCUGAAAGGGAAAUGUGCCCUUAGGCCAUUUCUAAGUAUUUUGGUGAUUGAGUGCAAACACAAGUGCUUAAUUGUGAAUCUAUGCCCAUGGAUGAACAAGGUGCAAAUCACAAGUAAAGGUAUGUUUCUAAGCCUUAGUACAUUGGUGUUAUGUACUAAUAUACUUGUCUAAGUGAUAGAAACAGAAAGAAGAAGAAAGAAGAAGAGUUGGCUGUGUACAGCCAAAAGACUGCUUCGGUCUGGAGCACCGGACUGUCCGGUGGUGCACCGGACAGUGUCCGGUGGUGCACCGGACAGUGUCCGGUGCGCCAGGCUGCCUCGGGCGAAGAAGCCGCUCUCGGGAAUUUGCCGACGGCGUACGGCUAUAAUUCACCGGACUGUCCGGUGUGCACCGGACUGUCCGGUGAGCCAACGGUCGGCUGAGCCAACGGCCGGCCGCGUGAUCUGCGCGGGACACGUGGCCUGGCCAACGGUCGGAAGGAGGCACCGGACUGUCCGGUGUGCACCGGACUAUCUGGUGCGCCAGAUCUGCAACGGUUGGCAACGGUCGGCUGCGCCUGUUAAGGAAAGAAAUCGGGCACCGGACAGUGUCCGGUGUGCACCAGACUGUCCGGUGCGCCUGACGACAGAAGGCAAGGAUGGCCUGCCAGAUUUGUUCUCAACGGCUCCUAGCUGCCUUGGGGCUAUAAAAGGAACCCCUAGGCGCAUGGAGGAGAACACCAAGCAACCUUAGAGCAAUCUUGAUCAUCCACACUCAGUCUUUGCGCAUUUGUUUGUCAUUCUAAGUGAUUCGAGCUCCGUUCUAGUGAGAACUUUGAGAUAGUCUUUUGAGCUCGAUUCUUGGCCGUGUGUGUGCGCAUUUUGCUGUGGAUUUGUGUGUGUUGCUUCCCUCCCUUACUCCGUACUUCUUUGUGAAACUCUAUUGUAAGGGCGAGAGACUCCAAGUUGUGGAGAUUCCUCGCAAACGGGAAAAGAGCAAAGAAAAGAAGAACACCGUGGUAUUCAAGUUGAUCAUUGGAUCACUUGAGAGGAGUUGAGUGCAACUCUCGUCCGUUGGGACGCCACAACGUGGAGUAGGCAAGUUUUGUACUUGGCCGAACCACGGGAUAACCACCGUGUCAUCUCUGUGAUUGCUUUCUUGUGGUUAUUGUGUUUUGACUCCUCUCUAGCCACUUGGCAAGAACUGUGCUAACACUUAACAAGUUUUUGUGGCUAUAAGUUUAAGUUUUACAGGAUCACCUAUUCACCCCCCCCCCUCUAGGUGCUCUCAAUUGGUAUCAGAGCCGUUCUCUUCAAGAAAGGGACUAGCCACCCGAAGAGAUGGAUCCCAAGGGGAAGGGAAUCGUGAUCAACGAUAAGGAGAAGGAGUCCUUCGUCAAUGAGCUCAAAGAUGACAAGCCUACCGACUCCGGCUCGGGUCAUAGACGAAAGGAAGGGAAGAAGAAGAAGACGAGGCGCAUCAAGGAGAUCGUCUACUACGACGACAGUGAUGAGUCUACUUCUUCCCAAAAGGACGACGACCACAACGACUACGAGCAAAGGAAACCGGUUAAUUCUAACUUUUCCUUUGACUACUCUCGUAUUCCGCAAAGCUCAAAUUCACAUUUGCUUUCCAUUCCACUCGGCAAGCCCCCACACUUUGAUGGGGAGGACUACGGAUUUUGGAGCCACAAAAUGCGUAGUCACCUAUUUUCUCUCCAUCCUAGUAUAUGGGAGAUUGUAGAUAGUGGAAUGCACUUUAAUAGUUCAGAUAGUCCUAUAUUCAUUAAUGAGCAAAUCCAUAAGAAUGCACAAGCUACUACUGUUCUUCUAGCUUCAUUGUGCAGGGAUGAAUAUAACAAAGUGAGUGGCUUGGAUAACGCCAAGCAAAUCUGGGAUACCCUCAAGAUCUCUCAUGAGGGAAAUGACGCUACCUUGCUCACCAAAAUGGAGUUGGUGGAGGGCGAGCUUGGACGGUUCGCGAUGAUAAGGGGCGAGGAGCCAACUCAAACAUACAACCGGCUCAAGACCAUUAUCAACAAAAUAAGGAGCUACGGAAGCACGCGAUGGACGGACCACGACAUCGUCCGACUAAUGCUAAGGUCCUUUACCGUUCUUGAUCCUCAUUUGGUGAAUAAUAUUCGUGAGAAUCCCAGGUACACCAAAAUGUCGCCCGAAGAAGUCUUAGGAAAAUUCGUCAGCGGGCGAAUGAUGAUCAAGGAGGCAAGAUACGUGGACGACGCCUUGAAUGGACCGAUCAACGAACCACAACCUUUUGCUCUCAAAGCAUCAAGAAGUAAGGAGGCACUACCUAGCAAGGUGACACAAAUUGAGGCGGUCGGACUUAAUGAUGAAGAGAUGGCUCUCAUCAUCAAACGCUUCAAGACGGUGCUAAAGGGUCACAAGGGGCAGCCAAGCAAGACCAAGACGAAGGGAAAGCGCUCAUGCUUCAAGUGCGGUAAGAUUGGUCAUUUUAUCGCUAACUGCCCCGAUAAUGAUAGUGACCAGGAAAAGGGAAACAAGAGGGAAAAGAAGAAGCAUUACAAGAAGGCAAAGGGCGAGGCGCAUCUAGGCAAGGAGUGGGACUCGGAUUGCUCCUCUUCCGACUCCGACAAUGAAGGACUCGCCGCCACCGCCUUCAACAAAUCAACCCUCUUCCCCAACGAGCGUCACACAUGCCUUAUGGCAAAGGAGAAGAAGGUAUGUACUCGCAACUCUACCUAUGCUUCUUCAAGUGAGGACGAAUCUAGUGAUGAGGAUGAAGUAGAUUAUUCAUGUUUGUUCAAGGGCUUAGAUAGAUCUAAGAUAGACAAAAUUAAUGAAUUAAUUGAUGCCUUGAAUGAAAAGAAUAUACUUUUAGAAAAGCAAGAGGAUUUGUUGUAUGAAGAACAUGAUAAGUUUGUAGAGGCUCAAAAAUCCCUUGCAUUAGAAAUUAAGAGGAAUGAAAUGCUUGCUUGUGAAGUGUCAACAUGCCAUGAUUCUAUUUCUAACUUAAAGAGCAUAAACGAUGAUUUAAAUGCUAAACUAGUAGAAGCAAAUAAAUCCAACUCUUGUGUUGAAUAUGUUGAAAUUUGCACUAGGUGUAAGGAUAUUGAUAUUAAUGCUUGUAGCGAACACUUAGUUUCUAUUUCAAAAUUGAAUGAUGAAUUAGCUAGUCUUAAUGCUCAACUUAAGACUAGCAAGAGUAAUUUUGAUAAACUAAAAUUUGCUAGGGAUGCCUACACGGUUGGUAGACACCCCUCAAUUAAGGAUGGGCUUGGCUUCAAGAGGGAAGCCAAGAACUUAACAAGCCAUAAGGCUCCCAUUCCCACUAAGGAGAAAGGGAAGGCCCCUAUGGCUACUAGUGCUAAAAAGAACCAUGCCUUUUUAUAUCAUGAUAGGAGACAAACUAGAAAUGCUUAUAAGAGUUAUAAUGAGUACGAUGAUUUUUCUCAUGCUAUGUUUGCUUCUAGUUCUUCAUAUGUGCAUGAUAGAAAUGUUGGUAGAAGGGAUGUUGUUCAUAAUAUGCCUAGGAGAAAUGUUGUUAAUAUUCCUAGGAAAGUUAAUGAGCCUUCUACAAUAUAUCAUGCUUUGAAUGCUUCCUUUGCAAUUUGUAGAAAGGAUAGAAAGGUAAUUGCUAGGAAGUUAGGGGCAAGAUGCAAGGGAGACAAAACUUGCAUUUGGGUCCCUAAGAAUAUUUGUGCUAACCUUGUAGGACCCAACAUGAGUUGGGUACCUAAGUCCCAAGCCUAAAUUUGCCUUGCAGGUUUAUGCAUCCGGGGGUUCAAGCUGGAUUAUUGACAGCGGAUGCACAAACCAUAUGACGGGGGAGAAGAAGAUGUUCACCUCCUACGUCAAGAAUAAGGAUUCCCAAGAUUCAAUUAUUUUCGGUGAUGGGAAUCAAGGCAAGGUAAAAGGGUUAGGUAAAAUUGCAAUAUCAAAUGAGCACUCAAUUUCUAAUGUGUUUUUAGUAGAGUCUCUAGGAUAUAAUUUACUAUCUGUUAGUCAAUUAUGCAAUAUGGGGUAUAACUGUCUAUUUACUAAUGUAGAUGUGUCUGUCUUUAGAAGAAGUGAUGGUUCACUAGCUUUUAAGGGUGUAUUAGACGGCAAACUGUACUUAGUUGAUUUUGCAAAAAAAGAAGUCGGUCUAGAUGCAUGCUUAAUAGCUAAGACUAGCAUGGGCUGGCUGUGGCAUCGCCGCUUAGCACAUGUGGGGAUGAAGAACCUUCACAAACUUCUAAAGGGAGAACACGUGAUAGGUUUGACUAACGUUCAAUUCGAAAAAGAUAGACCUUGUGCAGCUUGUCAAGCAGGUAAACAAGUGGGAGGAGCGCAUCACAGCAAGAAUGUGAUGACAACUUCAAGACCCCUGGAGCUGCUGCAUAUGGACCUCUUCGGACCCGUCGCCUAUCUAAGUAUAGGAGGAAGUAAGUAUGGUCUAGUUAUUGUUGAUGACUUUUCCCGCUUCACUUGGGUGUUCUUUUUGCAGGAUAAGUCUGAAACCCAAGGGACCCUCAAGCGCUUCCUCAGGAGAGCUCAAAAUGAGUUUGAGCUCAAGGUGAAGAAGAUAAGGAGCGACAACGGGUCCGAGUUCAAGAACCUUCAAGUGGAGGAGUUCCUUGAAGAGGAAGGGAUCAAGCACGAGUUCUCCGCUCCCUACACACCACAGCAAAAUGGUGUGGUAGAGAGGAAGAACAGGACGCUCAUUGACAUGGCAAGGACGAUGCUAGGAGAGUUCAAGACCCCCGAGUACUUUUGGACGGAAGCCGUGAAUACGGCUUGCCACGCCAUCAACAGGGUCUACCUUCAUCGCCUCCUCAAGAAGACGUCGUAUGAGCUACUAACCGGUAACAAACCCAAUGUAUCUUACUUUCGUGUAUUUGGGAGCAAGUGCUACAUUCUAGUGAAGAAAGGUAGAAAUUCUAAGUUUGCUCCCAAAGCUGUAGAAGGGUUUUUGUUAGGUUAUGACUCAAAUACAAAGGCGUAUAGAGUCUUCAACAAAUCAUCGGGUUUGGUUGAAGUCUCUAGCGACGUUGUAUUUGAUGAGACUAAUGGCUCUCCAAGAGAGCAAGUUAUUGAUUGUGAUGAUGUAGAUGAAGAAGAUGUUCCGACGACCGCUAUACGAACCAUGGCGAUUGGAGACAUUCGGCCACAGGAACAAUAUGAACGAGAUCAACCUUCUUCCUCAACUAAGGUGCAUCCCCCAACUCAAGACGAUGAACAGGUUCAUCAACAGGAGGCGUGUGAUCAAGGGGGAGCACAAGUUGAUCAUGUGAUGGAGGAAGAAGCGCAACCGGCACCUCCAACCCAAGUUCGAGCGAUGAUUCAAAGGGAUCAUCCCGUCGACCAAAUUCUGGGUGACAUUAGCAAGGGAGUAACUACUCGGUCUCGAUUAGUUAAUUUUUGUGAGCAUUACUCCUUUGUCUCUUCUAUUGAGCCUUUCAGGGUAGAGGAGGCCUUGCUAGAUCCGGACUGGGUGUUGGCCAUGCAGGAGGAACUCAACAACUUCAAGCGCAAUGAAGUUUGGACACUGGUGCCUCGUCCGAAGCAAAAUGUUGUGGGAACCAAGUGGGUGUUCCGCAACAAACAGGACGAGCACGGGGUGGUGACGAGGAACAAGGCUCGACUUGUGGCAAAAGGUUAUGCCCAAGUCGCAGGUUUGGACUUUGAGGAGACUUUCGCUCCUGUGGCUAGGCUAGAGUCCAUUCGUAUCUUGCUAGCAUAUGCCGCUCACCAUUCUUUCAGGUUGUACCAAAUGGAUGUGAAGAGCGCUUUCCUCAACGGGCCAAUCAAGGAGGAGGUGUACGUGGAGCAACCCCCUGGCUUCGAGGAUGAACGGUACCCCGACCACGUGUGUAAGCUCUCUAAGGCGCUCUAUGGACUUAAGCAAGCCCCAAGAGCAUGGUAUGAAUGCCUUAGAGACUUUCUAAUAGCUAAUGCUUUCAAGGUUGGGAAAGCCGAUCCAACUCUUUUUACAAAGACAUGUGAUGGUAAUUUAUUUGUGUGCCAAAUUUAUGUCGAUGACAUAAUAUUUGGUUCUACUAACCAAAAGUCUUGUGAAGAGUUUAGCAGGGUGAUGACGCAGAAAUUCGAGAUGUCGAUGAUGGGCGAGUUGAACUACUUCCUUGGGUUCCAAGUGAAGCAACUCAAGGACGGCACCUUCAUCUCCCAAACGAAGUACACGCAAGAUCUGCUAAAGCGGUUUGGGAUGAAGGACGCCAAGCCCGCAAAGACUCCGAUGGGGACCGACGGACACACCGACCUCAACAAAGGAGGUAAGUCCGUUGAUCAAAAAGCAUACCGGUCAAUAAUAGGUUCUUUGCUUUACUUAUGUGCUAGUAGACCGGAUAUUAUGCUUAGCGUAUGCAUGUGUGCUAGAUUUCAAUCCGAUCCUAAGGAAUGUCACUUAGUGGCGGUGAAGCGAAUUCUUACAUAUUUAGUUGCUACGCCUUGCUUCGGGCUCUGGUAUCCAAAGGGGUCUACCUUUGACUUAGUUGGAUACUCAGACUCCGACUAUACUGGAUGUAAGGUCGAUAGGAAGAGUACAUCGGGGACGUGCCAAUUCUUAGGAAGGUCCCUGGUGUCAUGGAAUUCUAAGAAACAAACUUCCGUUGCCCUAUCCACCGCUGAGGCCGAGUAUGUUGCCACAGGACAGUGUUGCGCGCAACUACUUUGGAUGAGGCAAACCCUCCGGGACUUUGGCUACAAUCUGAGCAAAGUCCCACUCCUAUGUGAUAAUGAGAGUGCUAUCCGCAUGGCGGAAAAUCCUGUUGAACACAGCCGCACAAAGCACAUAGACAUCCGGCAUCACUUUUUGAGAGACCACCAGCAAAAGGGAGAUAUCGAAGUGUUUCAUGUUAGCACCGAGAACCAGCUAGCCGAUAUCUUUACCAAGCCUCUAGAUGAGAAGACCUUUUGCAGGCUGCGUAGUGAGCUAAAUGUCUUAGAUUCGCAGAACUUGGAUUGACUUAUAACAUACAUGUGUUUAUGCCAUUGAUCAUGUUCCUUAUGCAUUUUGUUGCUUAUUGAUGGUGCUCAAGUUGUACAAGCACUCCCCGGACCUCACAAGUCCUUUUUGCAAGUAAUGCACACAUUUAGGGGGAGAUGUGCUACAACUUGACCCUUUGAGACUAACCAUUUGUUUGAGUUUGCUUGAUUUAGUCUCGAAGGAGAAUUGAAAGGGAAAAGGUGGACUUGGACCAUGCAAGACUUCCACUGCACUCCGAUGAGAGGGUAACUUAUUCCAAGUUCAUCUCUAUGAUCUUAUUGCCUUUGUCCUCUUAAUUGAAGAUUUUGGUGAGGCAAUGGGGUUAAAGGGCCAAGAUUGAUCCCGUUUUGGUGCUUGAUGCCAAAGGGGGAGAAAAUAAAGGCCAAAGCAAUAAAUGGAUCAGCUACCACUUGAGAGAUUUGAAAAUAGUAGGGUAGAGCUUUUGUUUUGUCAAAACUCUUAUUGUCUCUUUUGUGAAAAGUUGGCUUCUUGUGGGGAGAAGUAGUAAUUAUGGGAAAAAGGGGGAGUUUUUGAAAUCCUUGAUCAAUCUCUUUUGGAAUGACUCUCUUUAUGCUUCAACAUGUGUGUUUGACUUAGAGAUAGAGAUUUGAGUUCGAUUUACAAAAACAAACCAAGUGGUGGCAAAGGAUGAUCCAUAUAUGCCAAAAAUGAAUCAAAAUAAAUUUGAGGUUUAUUUGAAGUGAUUUUGCACUUGUUCUAGUUGCUUUGUGUUGUGUUAGCAUAAAUCACCAAAAAGGGGGAGAUUGAAAGGGAAAUGUGCCCUUAGGCCAUUUCUAAGUAUUUUGGUGAUUGAGUGCAAACACAAGUGCUUAAUUGUGAAUCUAUGCCCAUGGAUGAACAAGGUGCAAAUCACAAGUAAAGGUAUGUUUCUAAGCCUUAGUACAUUGGUGUUAUGUACUAAUAUACUUGUCUAAGUGAUAGAAACAGAAAGAAGAAGAAAGAAGAAGAGUUGGCUGUGUACAGCCAAAAGACUGCUUCGGUCUGGGGCACCGGACUGUCCGGUGGUGCACCGGACAGUGUCCGGUGCGCCAGGCUGCCUCGGGCGAAGAAGCCGCUCUCGGGAAUUUGCCGACGGCGUACGGCUAUAAUUCACCGGACUGUCCGGUGUGCACCGGACUGUCCGGUGAGCCAACGGUCGGCUGAGCCAACGGUCGGCCGCGCGAUCUGCGCGGGACACGUGGCCUGGCCAACGGUCGGAAGGAGGCACCGGACUGUCCGGUGCGCCAGAUCUGCAACGGUUGGCAACGGUCGGCUGCGCCUGUUAAGGAAAGAAAUCGGGCACCGGACAGUGUCCGGUGUGCACCGGACUGUCCGGUGCGCCCGACGACAGAAGGCAAGGAUGGCCUGCCAGAUUUGUUCUCAACGGCUCCUAGCUGCCUUGGGGCUAUAAAAGGAACCCCUAGGCGCAUGGAGGAGAACACCAAGCAACCUUAGAGCAAUCUUGAUCAUCCACACUCAGUCUUUGCGCAUUUGUUUGUCAUUCUAAGUGAUUCGAGCUCCGUUCUAGUGAGAACUUUGAGAUAGUCUUUUGAGCUCGAUUCUUGGCCGUGUGUGUGCGCAUUUUGCUGUGGAUUUGUGUGUGUUGCUUCCCUCCCUUACUCCGUACUUCUUUGUGAAACUCUAUUGUAAGGGCGAGAGACUCCAAGUUGUGGAGAUUCCUCGCAAACGGGAAAAGAGCAAAGAAAAGAAGAACACCGUGGUAUUCAAGUUGAUCAUUGGAUCACUUGAGAGGAGUUGAGUGCAACUCUCGUCCGUUGGGACGCCACAACGUGGAGUAGGCAAGUUUUGUACUUGGCCGAACCACGGGAUAACCACCGUGUCAUCUCUGUGAUUGCUUUCUUGUGGUUAUUGUGUUUUGACUCCUCUCUAGCCACUUGGCAAGAACUGUGCUAACACUUAACAAGUUUUUGUGGCUAUAAGUUUAAGUUUUACAGGAUCACCUAUUCACCCCUCCCUCUAGGUGCUCUCACUCUCGCCAAUGCUCAAGAAAAGGUUGAAGAGAGGCGCGGCCAACACGACGGCGUGUGGGGCGAGGAAGGGAAUGGCGCUUGUCUGGAAGCAUCGCGGCGUAUCGUUUGACAGAGUACGUGGAAAUGCAGAGAGAGUUCGUGUAGCCGUUCGUAAAUGAUCGAACGGUUAAAAAUAUAAAGGCGACGUGGAUAGCCUUAUCUUUGCAGUUUUGAACCGGCUUUAAUAUAUAGAAAUCUCGUUGCAUUAUCUAUUUUUGACAAUGAAGACAAUAUUUAGGUAUAUAGGAUGUUUUUAUAUAUAUGUGUUGGAAUAGGUCAGGAGAAUAUUUGAAUAUACAGUCGGAGAAGAAAUAUUAAAUAUUCUGGUCAAAAUCUCUAUUCUCGAUCAGUAACACGAAAAGAUCCUUCUAGAUACCCUAAGGCCGAUAGGAUACAACUUUGUAGAGUUCAGACCAAUUGACUCCGGGUUGCCACUUAUUAGUUAAGAUAAGAUAUUACAAGUACUGCCAGACAAUUUAAAGGGUGUUUGAAUGCACUAGAACUAAUAGUUAGUUGGCUAAAAAUUGUUAAUGAAAUUAGCUAGCUAACAAAUAACUACCUAACUAUUAACUAAUUUACCAAAAAUAGCCAAUAGCUGAACUAUUAGUUAUGGUGUUUGAAUGUUUCAACUAAUUUUAGACACUAACUAUUAGCUCUAAUGCAUUCAAAUACCCCUUAGGCCUUGUUCGUUUGUGUAGGAUUGGUGGGUCGGAACGAUUCCUAACCGGAUUGCUUCGCUAAUUUAUAUAAACUUUAAUUAGCUCGAACGAUUCCGGGUGUAAUCCGAUGCAAACGAACAAGGCCUUAGGCUGCUACAAUACGAGUUUGACGGAAAGAACUGGAACAAGCCGACCGGAUGCCUUCUUCUCGAUCCGCCACGUGUGUUGGACCCUGUACCCAAAAAAAAAACGCGAAAUCAUUGGCGAGAACGUGGCGCCGCCGUGGAACGUUGUCGCUCGACGAGCCCGCGCUGGCCAUGGGUCCCACGACAGAUGAGAUAGCACCGGUGGCGACCGACUCGAUGAUACAAGCGCGGCGUGUCUUUGCAGCUGCAGUGCAGGCCACAAGGAACCAACAAGGCAACAACCAGGUACUGGUACAAGUUUCCUCCCUGUCAAUGUCGUCGCCUUGCAAUUGCAAAUUGGAGCAGGUCGCCGAUCGCUUUCUUUUUGCCAGCGUGCGUACACACAUGGUGUGUACGACUGACAUAACCUACGCAACUGUAAAUGUAAUAAAGCGGAGUUCACGAAAUGGGCCAGCGGAUUUUCAAACGACCGGUCGGCAGCCUGCGGCAAUUUUGUUAUUCGUGAAAGUCUGAACAGCACAGGCACUGAGGCACAGCUUUCUCUUCUUUCUUUCUUUCUUUCUUUCUUUCUUUCUUUCUUUUUUCAAUCGAGGAGGAGCUGGCGGACAACUUUGCUCUCUGUUCCUUGCUUCCAUAGACUAAUCGAUCGCUGGCAUUUCGGAGUUUAUUAUUAUUGUUUGCUUAUUUGUCUUCUGCAUUACCAUUCAUCUUCUUCAGUCUUCACAUCACCCCUCUACUACCUCUAGACUUCUAGAGAGUAAAAAGAUAUCGGACAUGCUUUGACUGCGAGAAUACUGUGCUGCGCGAGCGAACGAACAAACAAACAUGCGCGCCUGGCACGAACGGCCCCGCUCGUCUCUCUGCCGCGACCCACCGCGAGACGACCGCCCGGCCACUCGCCGAUCCGCUUCGCAUGCGCACAUGCAGGCACGUAGCAGGCGCCACCACAUGGCACGGCAGCCCACCCCCCACGCCCAGACGCUAUAAAUCCCGGCCCCGCCCUCGCCUCCGUAGUCCGUACUACCCAGGCAAGCGAUCGUCGGAGCAGAGAGAGACUUCCUCGCCUCCAUCCCAUCCCGCCGCCGCCGUCUCUACGGUCGCUAAUAAGCCGCCGCAUCCAGGGAUGGAGAUGAAGAAGAUCGCCUGCGCCGUCCUCGUCGCCGCCUCGGCCACCGUGGCGCUGGCCGCGGAGGCGCCGGCUCCGUCUCCCACCAGCGGCUCCUCCGCGGUCGCACCCGCCAUCGUCGGGGCCGCCGUGGCCUCCUUCUUCGCGUACUACAUUCACUGAGCCGCCGGACGAGGAGCCGGAGCCGGAGGGAAGAGACCAAGGUGGGGGGAGAGACUUGGCUGCGCUGCGCUGCUCUGCUGCUCCCGCGCAUUCCCGAUGCGUGGGCGUGCUCUGAUUGGGCACGGCGGUGGCAGUGGCACACCUUCGUCUUCCUUUUGUUUGUUUUUUUUCCUUCCUCUUUCUACUUGAUUUUCAUUUAACGAAUUGGUAUCGCUGAUGCACCAGUUUAAUUUGGUGCCCUGUUAUUUGUUCUUUCCCUCGAGUGAGGGAUCGACACCUGUACCAUUGCUUGCCAUUUGUCUGGACCAGUUCAACAAUUCGAUUUAACCAUCACGUAUAUGUGUGCUUUGGAUAAACAUUAUUACAUUACCCUCAUGGUGAGGGGAUUGCCGGUUUGUUAUGCCUUAAUAUGCGUGAUUGAGAAUGUGCUUGCCGUGUGCCCUGCUCUGCUUUUUAACUGCUCUUAUAAAAAGUCGUAUAUUUGAGUCCUAAAAAUUAAAAUAGAAUCUGAUUUCAAAUAUUUAAAACUAUAGAAAAUAUUUACGGUUCAAACAGUUGAGUCAUAUAUCAUAUUAUUAGAAAAUAGAUUAUUUUAUUUAAGAAAAUAAAAAGUUUAGAAGUACCAUACAAAAUGAGGGAGGGUAAAGCAUCAACAUAAGAGGUCCUACAUUUACAAUUUGAGUACUAUAAUUAUUGUGAUAAAUAUAUUUAGGGCUAGUUUGGAAAUAUCAUUUUCCUGAGGUUUUCCAUUUUCUCAAAGAAAAUUAGUUUAUUUUCUCUUAGGAAAUUGAAAAUCCCAUGGAAAAAUGGAGAUGCCAAACUAGCCCUUAAAAAUAUUUAGGGCACGUACAACGGCCAUAAAUAAACUGUCUGUAUAACGCCACAUUAGCAUGAUUAUCCUUGUUGGACUCGGUUAAAUGAAGAUAGAUCGCCUCGCGUGAGGACGGCUCCUGCUCCUGCUCCAAGGGCUAGGGAUGGAUUCGGAUGUCUGGAGAUCCGAAAUAUCCGUAUUCGUAUUCGGAUAAAGUGCUAAUAUGGAUAUCCGUAUUCGUAUUCGAUUUUAAUAUGGAUGUUAAAUAGACAUAUUCGAAUUCGUUUCUUCUCUAUCCGGUUUAAGAUUCGUAUUCGACAACAUUCGACAAAACCGUGAAAUAUCCGAUACUAUUCGUAUUCGAAAGAAAAAAGUAUUCAAUAAAAUCAAUUUAAACUUACUUUUAUUACUAAUUACAAGUGAUUUUAAACAUUAAAUAAUAUACUAAAACCUGAAAUACACCAUUUAAAAUGUUAAAAAUAUUUAUAUCAUAAACAAAUGAUUGUGUUAAUCUUACAGUACUAGUGAUAUACAAUGAUAAAUUUUAAUAAUAUUAAAAAGUCUAAUUUUGAAUACAUUAGAUUAUUGGAGUUUGAGUCCAAAAUACAAAUAUACUUAAUAUAAAAAAGAUUAUAAUUAGAGUCCAAAAUAUAAAUAUACCAGGUAUAAAUAUUUUAUUUAAAAAUAUGAUAUUCAACUAAGUUUCAACUAAAUAAUGUAUAUGUACUAUUGUUCAUAAUUUGCUUGUAAUAUGAUUUUUAUCAACUAUAAACCCAUCGAUAAAACAAAUUAAUACUUGUUAUGAUGCUAUGUUCUAAAUUAAGUAAGUAUCCGAAUGUAAAUCCGAAUUCGAACUAUCCGUUUUGUAUACGUAUCCGACAGUAUUCGUAUCCGUAUUCGGAUUAAAAUAUGGUAAAUAGUGACAUUCGAAUUCGUUUCCAUGCGUAUCCGAUCCGAAUCCAUCCCUACCAAGUGCAAGGCAAAUCGCCCGCUUGUAGCCUAUUGUACAUAGUUGCCGCCAGUCUGCUGCUUGCAUAUGAUUAAAUACUGGUUUGAAUGUAUUUAUCUGCAGACGCUCAUUGUAUAUAAUGUUUUUAUUACUGUUUUGUGUAUGACGCGGCGACUCAAAUAGACAGCAGCCGUUUAUAGGACUUCUAUUGAAGAUGCUCUAAUUAGAAUGAUGGUACCUACGACGUUAGUACACACUACAGAAUGACGGAAGGAAUGCCCCUGCAAGUUGAUACUGUUGCCCCUGAGGUCAAGGGUUAAUCAAAUUUCUCAUUUUACUCAUCCGAAAAGGUUGCGAAAUUAACACAUGCAACAUGGCAGUUGCCUCCAGAAUUACUGUACAAUUAGUAAAUGUUGGGUAGAGGAUCCAAAUGGCCCCAAAUACACUGCUUUAACAUUUAGAAAUGAGAAAAACUCCAUUUCAUCUUUCAUCAACCGUCACAAAAGUUAGGUUUUCUUUCCUCAACUAUAAAAUCGGACAUGGUUGCACUGUCGUCUCUGUUAGGUUUUCUUUUCUCAACUACAAAACCGGACAAAUGAAAACCACCGAGAAAACAGUCAGAGAGGUCAUGUGUUCGAGGAAAGAGUUAUGUUCGAUUUUAUAGUUAAGGGACGAAAAACUAACUUUUAAGAGAGGUAAAAUAGAUUUUUUUCCCCCCUUUUGAAAUCAUACGAAAAUUUUAACCACCAGAUGACGCUGUUCAUCUCACUGCAAAUGCGAGAGAAAAAAAUACGGAGGGAGAAACCAACUUAGAUCCAUCUGGUACAAAAAGAAUGGAAAGCGAAUAUAGAUCUAUCGCCAAAAGACAAGCAGAUGAAUAUCUCACUGAAGCAUCGACAUUCCACGCCGUCUCUUACUUUAGCAACCUGCACCGCACCGGAAAGUUUUAAGCUCAAAAAAAAAAAGCCUCCAGAAAAGCUGCAAACUUGCACCGCCCAAGUGGCCAGCAACACUUAACUUUGCGUCAUGUCUAGUGCAAGCAGCAUGCGAGGGCAAUGGCGGCAAAUGAUUUUUAAGCUUCAUUUCAGAGAAAAUUCGACACGGCAACAAUGCAGCAGGGCACCAACUUCUUAAAGAAGUAAAUUGCAUGUUAUUUCAGGCAUCCAUGCUGGAUCUACCAGCUGGAAAGAAACACAACACAUCCAGCCAGCACACGAUAGAAAAGAUCAAUCUAUACAUGCGAAAGCUAAUAUAUACUGCGGUCUGCAUACUGAACAGACAUUAAUCUGAGAUGAGAAGGGCCAGCACUGAACAAAAAAAAAUGUGUCACUUCAAGAAGCCGGCCGCCACACCUCUCAAGUCAACACCUUGGCCUUUGCAAGGUCAAGAACGUUACGAUCAAUAACAUAAGGAUUUCCCCAUCCUGGUGCAGGAAAAAGAGCAUAGCGAUGUUUGCAUAAACUAGCAGCAGAGUUGCAUCCUUCCUUGAGUGAAAAGAGACCUGAAACUCAGUGGACUCUGAAGGUGAUUGAGAGUGAUAUGAGUUAUCCUUCCAUUGAAGGCACCUAUUUAUUUGUAAUCGAGAAAAGGAGUACCAAUAAUUGGCAAUUAUUAUUCUGGGAUAAAGGGCUAAUUUAUCUAGCAGCUAAUGCCUAUCUAUUGGGGUGAUGACAGUGCUGCCGGUGAAUCUGCACUAUAAAAAGGAUCGAGAGAAGCUACUAAACAGUGUAAUUCAGAAGAAACAUAAGGGUUACAUACCUAGCAAGCUGAGAAUGUCUAGUGCAUAUCCUGUACAAAACCACAGUGGAUUUUCCAUUCUAAGUUUAACAAAUCUUAUAGUAAAGAGCAAUCACAUUUACGAUAUCAAAUGAUCUUCGUUAGAUAAAUUAUGAAAUGUAUUUUUAUAAUUUACCUCUAAUGUGGUACAUGUUUUUAGUUUAGUCCAGAAACUUGGUGAAACUCAGAAUGGUUGGACUUAGGACAACAUAGAAUCCAUUAUAUUUCAAGGCUACUGGAGUAGAAAUGCAGAAGGUUACAGUGCAAUUGUACUCUGGUAAUCAGGAUUGCUUUCCAGGAAUGAUGGACAUCUGUGCUGGCCUGUCAUAGAACCACAAGGUUCUUUCUAUAUCCCACCCUUCUCAUGCAUCAAGAGACCAGUAAAAGGGGACAUGGCAAUUGGAGAUCUUAAAAUGAAAUAUUGCUCUCCAAAGACAACAGGAAGCGACAGAUCCCUGUGUUGAAGAAUUAAUAAAAGAUCAAGGUCACAGCUUUUCAAGGUCCACUAGAGUGUUAUACUAUCAUAGUGUCACGUAGCAUGACCACGGUGUAUCCAUCUUCCACCAGGAAACAAUAAAUAGCAAAAAGCCAAAUUAUAUAGCUCAGAAAUUUUCAAAAGCAAUUAAGAAAAAAUCCAACUGUUUAGUUCAUGUCAAUAUCGUAAGAGACUAGUACACUAAAAAUAAUAGACAACUUAAUCCAUUCAUGUUAUUAUCCCUACACCAUUAACACUUAACAAGGAACUUGGUUAAAAAACAGUAUCUGGAUUUCGUUAGCACACUCACAGAGGAUCAAUUGAAUUGUCUACGGUACUGGAGCUGCAGUUAGACAAAAUUAAUCUAUAAUGCUUCAUAAUCAAACAAUACCACAAAGGGAUUAUUUGGUUAGAUUUAUCAAAUAAUUCACAAAUCACUAAUUGGUCAUAAGAGAGUCAUGCAGUAGGCAAGCUAAACCUAUAGGAUAUCUGAUCAAAAUAGAUCAAUUUGGAGUUGACAUGCCUAAGUUCCAAGAAAACUCACUUAUCCGACGGAAGACAAACAAAUAACACAUACAAACAGGAUACAGGCAAAUCUUAUCUGCCAAUUCCAGACAUAGCAUAACCAAGGCACGAUAGAAACAUUGUACUUCUGAACACAGAUAAAUACAGAGGUGCAUUAGAACAGAGGAUACAGCAAGUGGAAGAAUACUGUACUGCUAACUAGACCUCCAUCUUUUGAUAGAGAUAUUGGUCUUAAGGUGUCCAAAUGAAUUUCUGGUCUAAAAUUGAUACUAAAGAUGAUUGCAAAAUAAUUUGUGAUACUCCACAUCAUCUAAAUGUUUGAGAUGUUAGAUUACCAUAUCAGGAGUUCAGGAGUCAGGACCAUACAUGACCUCUCUUUUUAAUCUUGCGAAAGUCAGGAUCAAAAGGGGCAAAGAGAUCCCACCAGGCCACAACAACUUUAAUGAUGGCUGAGGACAACAUGCAAUGACCUCGUUGCAAGAAAAAUAUAGUAGAUUAUAAAUGUCUAACUAGAUAAUUAAACAAUCACCACAAAGGACAAUAGUAUAAGUACUAGUUGGUUAAACUAUUGAAAGAUUAUGACAACCAUGUCUUUAGGUAAUUUACAAUCAAAGUAAUCCUCACAAUAACACAAAAGAUGUUCUCUAGUUGGCCGCCAUUAUCAUAAUUGAUACACUGUUAUUUCCAAUUUACUAUAUUUGACAUCUUUUAAGAACGAAAACAUCUGAUCAUAUCGGAGUUCUGAACUAAGCACAUAACUAGACUGCCUAUCAUGGUUUUCAAAGCGGUAUGGCUAUACAAAGCGUUGGACUGCCGCUUGGACGCCUAGGCGAGAUAGGCGAGCAAGGCGUUGGGCCACCGCCUGGACGCCUAGGCGACGCCUUUAAAACAGUGCUGCCAAUCACAAAGGUAUGAGAACACAUUUCAUCCUGAUCUGAGUAUCAAUUCAAUCAGCUACAAUGAUAUUCUAGUGUAAGAUGGUAUUGGUAAUACAACCUUGUUACCUUGCCAAAUCACCAAUGAACCCAAAACACAGUUCAAUAGUAAAAGGGAAGCAGCAAUAAAGAAUUGUGGUUGUAGCCAAUUUAUUAACAAACAGGAUAUCGGUAUGGAGCUGGUUCAUUUAAAAGGAAGAUACUACAUUUUACCAAUUGGUUCUACAAGCUGAAGAUUAAUAUCAUUGUAAUAGAAAUGUCUCGAACAAUCAUAUUUUAAUCUCCCCUCUCCCGUGUACAAUCACCAAAACUAAGCAUAAUCCAACAUCCAAAAGCACCAAAAUAUCUUUAGUUCGAAGUCUACUUGCCUAUUAGCAGUGCAUUUUUAUUCCUUUUGAUACUGAAAACUAAGUAUCCUUCCGGCAGAGGUCUGAACUUAAAAUCAUCUAAUAAACACCGCAGCAACUGACGCGACAGACACUCCCAGAGCGCAAGAGAUGGCCAUCACCCGUGUCCGGAGCAGCAUGAGGUUAACGUUCUUCGUAGCCUGGAGGCACAACGUGAGCACCUGCAGCCUCGCGUUGGCCUCCAUCUUCUGGAAGAAGGCGAUGGGCUUGAUGGCGCGGCGUAGCACCAGGGCGACCGCGAAGGGGAACGCGAACGCCGCCACUCCCUGCACUGCCGCGGCGGAUCCGACACCGAGAGGCGGAGCACCGUAAGAUAUCCACGCGCCGGCGGCGAGGUGCGCUCCUCCGAGGAGCGCGAGCGAGCCGCUGAGGCGCUGCACGGUGCGGCGGAGCGCGUCGAGCUCCCGCCGCGUUUCGUCGGCCAGCGGCGACGUAUCGCGCUCCACCGUGGGGCCCUCGAUCUCCUGGUGCCGCAUCUCAUCCGGCGACGCGGGCGCGGAUGGGGCGCCUUGGCUGGGCUCUGAUGUCGUGGAGGAGGGGUUGGGGCUGGGGUUUGAGGGCGCGGAGAAGAAGCGGCGGCCGGGAUUCAGGAGGAUGAAGGGGUCGCGGCCAUGGGUGAAUGUUUUAGGUAUGGGGAAGUGCGCGGCGGCGACAGCCGUUGGGCUCAGGAGGCGGUGGGAGAGGCGCGAGAGCGCCAUCGGAGGCGGAGCCUGCAACAACGCUGCAAGCCUGACGAGGAAAGGUCGCGGCGGCGGCGGCUCGCCUGUUUCGGAUUUCUGAAAAGUUGUCUCCCGUUUCCCCAGUCAAGAGUCAAGGCGUAAUCUGGGAAUACGUUUGCUCCCCUCGUAUGCGGUAAGACGUUGAACUCGGAGUAAAGUUUUGCUAGCACACUGCAUACGUGGCAUCACAAGGAAAACGCUGUACUAGGGUAGGGACACGCUCGCCGGCAGGUUCGGGCUGCCUUCCUCCACAAUCCAGCGGCUGCCGCACGGCUCGGCCUCGGUCCUACAGCUACAAGAACCAUCUCUCUCUCUCUCUCUCCUCUCACUCACUCACUCCCCCCAUUCCUACCUUUCUUCUCCUCCACCUCGUCAGGCACCCUCAAACCCUCGCCGCAAGAAAGAAGAGGUCAAUCAAAUCGAACCAAAACCUCCCGACCCCACAAGGCCAAGCUCAUUUCCAUGGUGGUGUACACGCAGGAACAUGUGUACCGGCACCCGUGGGACCGGGUGACAGCGGCGGCGUGGCGCAAGUUCACGGAUCCGGCCUCCUGUACGGCGCUCUCCCACGUCGCAGACGUUCACACCCUACACCGCCGCCUCGACUCCGACACGGGCCGCCUCCAGGCCGCGCGCUCCAUCACCGUGCGGUCCCCGCCGCUCCCUUUCGUCCUGCGCCGACUCCUCCCGUCCGCCGCGGCGUCCCCAAACGGCGCCGCGCUCUGCCACUGCGUCGAGACCUCGCUCGUGGACGCCCAGCGCCGCGCCAUGGACGUCGUCGUGCGCAACGUCAGCCUCCGGGGCCUCAUCGAGGUCGAGGAGCGCGCCUCCUACAGACCACAUCCGGACCGGCCCGACGACUGGACGCAGUUCAGGCAGGAGACCACGAUCCGGUGCCGCCCGCUCGCGGCCCUCGCCGCCGUCGCUGAGAAGGUCGAGACCCGGUGCGCCGAGAGGUUUCUGCAGAAUAGCGCCAAGGGGAGGGAGGUCGUCGAGCGGAUCUGCCGGUACCUCGAGGCCGAGUCCGCCGGCGCCGCGCCCUCCGUAACCUGAUCUCGUUUGCACAUCUUUGCUUGAUCCGAACGGAUCCAAGGGUUCCUCGAUCUGUGCUGUGUGCGCCCGGAUAAAUCGAACCCCGCCUGCUAGGCGCUUGCUUUUCUUCAUUUUUUGUGUGUGAAAUGAUGAGCUGAAUUCGGAAUAGAAUAAAGCUUCUGGUCAUACUUGUUUCUUCUGUUGUAAGUAUGUGGAACCGCUUUAACCUCCCUGAUUUUGAUCAUGAGCCUUGCCAAAUUCUAAUUUGCUAAUAAAUUUAAAUGCUAUGAAAUCACUGAUGUUUGUUGUGUUAUUUUGAUUGACUGAAUGGUUGCUCAUGCUUUGAUUGACUAGAUUUAGUGGUGUUCUCAUUCACAGAAAAGGGUGAGGUCAUUGAUCUGUUGUUCUUUAAGCUGGUAGCAGAUUGUCCCCUUGGUUGAUUGGUAAGAAUAGUAUGACAUCGUGAAGUAAAAUACUUUCCAUAUCUAGUCUAUUCUAGCAAUGUGUCAUUCUUGAAGCUGGGCAGGUAGUGUUUAAUGGUAGAUACCCCAUAGCUUUUUGUCGUACACUUCGCUAAUACUUUUAUCUGUGGAACCAUUUUGAUAAUCUCCCCUUCCAACUCUUUGUGCUUGCUCUUGCAAAUUUGAGAUAUUACAUAAGUUAUACAUAUCGGUGCUUUAAUCUAUUCAAGGCAUGUCCAGAUAAAUCAGAAAGUGAACCGAUGUGUCAUUCUUGAAGCUGGGCACAGUAUUUCUGUCUCCUUUGUACAUUUGGUUUAUUGGUAAGAAUGGCAUGACAUAUAUUGUGGAUAGCAUUGCUUUCUGAUAUUACAAGUCUAUACUCUAUAGUUGUAAUAUAUAUAUGAGCUUCUCCAUGGUUUUCUAAGUCAUGUAUCUACUAAUUAUCAUAAGCUUAUCCUUUUCUUGCUUACUGGAGCGGUGGAUCCUUGGGGUUAUGAACUUAGAUAUUGUAGGCUGCUUGUGCUUGUACUGUUGUGGAUGAGUAGUUAGGUUCCAUGACUUCGAUUAGUCUGCUCAGUUGGCAUAAAUUGAGAAUUGAUGGAAGCCACUAAGCUAGUCAUAGCUCAAGUAACUAUAAUAACACCACCUCCAACUAAUCUAUUAUGUGAUGCUCUUAAUUUCGAACAAAUUUCAUUUGCUUUGUGUUUUCAAUCAUGUGAAGUCUUUAGUAAGUAUGGAAUGUCCCUCACGGCAUGGAUUCCACUUUGAUGCUGUGUCUUGCAACCACAUUUGUACAUCGUAGACCAAGCUACUGCAUCCCUGCAAGUAUGAUGUAUCCUUACCUGAAUUGGAUUCUUGCUGUAUAUUUUACUCUGAAGAUACUUUUUAAAUGUUCUUAUUCACCAUCUUUCAGAGCAUAGUUCUUUAAUCUUUACUAUUCCCUCCAUUCCAAAUCAUAAGGUUUCUUUGCUGUGCACUUAGGUAUAUACUAUGUCUAAAUACAUAAUGCUGCACUUCCUGUGCUUUUCAGCUAUAUCUGUUGCUGCAUGCUGCUUAAAAUUUGAACCGUUGAAAUCUGCUGCAUAGAAUCUGAACUGUGCAUGCAGCAGCAGCUGCACCUGCACCUGCAGCACAAAAUGUGCAGCCGAUCAGGCUGGGUUCAGAAGCCAAAGCGUCUUAUAUUUUGGAAAGGAAGUAUGGAGUACGAAGUAACAAUGUGGUUGUGGGCAACUGCUAGUUCAGAAGUCUGGAAUGGUUUAGGCUAAUGUUAUUCAUUUGGUAGGAAGUUGUGAAACAAAACGUGCUGGCUUCUUACCACUGUAGUCAACUGGUGGUUCUCACUUGUUUGUUCCCUCUGAACUUCAUGGCCGCAACAUCUUUCAGACUAUGAAAUCUGUGUGGUCUAUGCUUGUUCAGAAUUUCUCUUAGUAGGCAUAUUUGACCGUGGCUACAAAUUUUCACGAGGGCGUGGUCCGAAAUUCAGAACGCUGCUUCAUUAUCACAUGGACUGCGGUUUGUUUUCGCACUGACAUGAUUUGACAUUGUUAUUAACAUUUGUGAACUGGUUUUGUGCGAUAAACAGCUGUAAAAUAAAGUAAUUUCUGUGGUUGUAAAUUGUACUACCUUCUCGAAUAUCUGUCGCCCGCCGUUAGUUCAUAUUUGUCAAUGCUGCCUUUGGCUUGGGCGGAGGGAGGCUCCCCGCUUCCUGGUGUCUGCAGAUGUAAUCAGGGUAUUGCCUGAUGCUCUCUGGUAUCCGCCGAUGUGAUCAUGAGCUUAUCAAUCACCUUUUAUUUUCUGAUUCUGAAAACUUGAUACUUGAAGCCGAUAUAUUAUUCAGUAGUCGUUUUGUCUGUCGAAUGUUAUCAGUCCCUGCAAGGAUCACACCACGCUGCGCUCUCUGACUGUUUUGGCUUCGGCGGAGUUGCGGUUCGGUUAGUCAGUUUGCAUAGUUCCUCGUUGCAGAUGAUCGUAGUUUACAAAAUUCUGGUCGUGUUCGUGUUAGUUGUUGUGCCGCUCUUGCUCGGUUGAUGGCAAGAUGGCAGCUAUAUGUGGAACUGAACUGCCCUGUCAAAUCAAAGCCAAACUGAAUCACCACCAACAAGCAGCUGAAGCCAACGUCUCAACUGGGACUGGGACAGCCUACCCUUUACUGAUAAUAGCACGCAAGUCAAGUAGUCACCAUAACUUUUUUUUUGAGAAUCAAGUAGUCAACAUAAUUGUUGGGACUAGGAGUCUCUCUAGGAGACUAGGAGAGGCGAUUCGGAUAAAUAAAUGACUAAAAAUAGGAGUAGAGGGCCUACCUAGAUGGGCCUAAUUAUUACACAUGGGCUGGCCAUGUAUGUGCGCGGGGUGGCCCGGAACAUUAGGUAGCCCUAACUCGCGCCGCUAUAAAAUGGCGACUCUGGCGAUCAGGGUUUAUCUCGACUCCGCAACCUCCCUCUAGCCCGAGCGAAGAAGAAAGGAGGGUGCUCUGCCGGCGGCGGAGCGGAGAUGUCCGAGAGGAGGCGCGGCGCCGGCGCCGGCACCGGCACCCGCAAGGAUGAGGUGGUGACCCGCGAGUACACCAUCAACCUCCACAAGCGCCUCCACGGAUGGUACUACCACCAACUUUCUCUUCCAUUUCCCAAGCUUAUUAGAUCCACGUGUUGGGGAGCAUAGUGUUGUUCUAUAGCCGCGUCGGGCUUACACAUCAGAUGCUGGUGCGGAGGGUUGCGGCCUGUGAGCACUAUGUGGGCUUGCGAAUGGUCGAUACACCUGAUCGGAUGCAUUAUCUUUUACCAGCUAGACUACAGUCGGGAUCACCUGACCGAGCGGGAAUAGCGUGUAGUUGAUCUUGCUCUUGUAUCUGAUCCCACAUUC